rnacentral:lncRNA from 1 species
UGUUUUGUAUUAGCUAUUUGUUCCUGUGAGUUAUCAACUCCAUAAGUUCCCAGAUCCUUAAGACAAUAUGUGUGCAUGUUAGAUGACACAAUCAAACCAAUAUGGUCGUCAUUUACUAUUUCAAUAAUCAUCAUCACUUUGUACUCUUUUUUCUUCUAAAUGCAUAUGCGGACAGCAUACCUCAUUCAGUAUGCAUGCAUGUGUUUUGCUUUUUAUAUUUGUUCCAAGUUUUAGUUUGGCAACUUGUGCGAUUUAAACCCGGUCGCCUGAAUUGGUUUUUGUUAUCUGUUGCUGAUUGUCAUCUGAAGUUGAUUGUUUGCUUGUUCAUGCUAGCUUACUCAAAAUGCUUCAUAAACUUUCACACACGAUUUGUUAUUUGUAUGAAGUUACAACUCAACGAAACGAUGUUGAAGGCACAGAAAUCCCAUUGAAUUUGAUGCCAGAAGAGUUGGUUAUACCCCUUUGAAGGGUAGAGUUUUCUUUAACAAUGCAUAUUCCACUUGAACUUAAAUUCCACUUGAAUAUAAAUUCAACUUUGUAGUUCACAUUCUUGAUAUUUAUAGCCCAUCUUGUAUGGUAUUUCCUUUGUCAAAGUCCUCAUUUUGAAUUCUCUUUUUAUUCAUUGGCAUAUUCGUUUCUUUGAAUGCUCUUGAACCCUUGAACCGUCUUAACAUGGUUAGAAGUUGCUCCUUGCUCUUUUGGUUUUGGAUGCGAAAUGUUACAAAAUUCACUUGUCUAGAGAAGUGAAGCAAAAUAUUAAACGAUGUAAUACUCAAAUCCUUUUUACUGGUAUCUUCAAGAUAAUGAGGAGAAAUUAUUUAUUUCCACCUUUUUUAAGGAAAUUAUUUAUUUUGAACCUUGGAAGAAGCUAGAAUGAUUUUUGAUUCACAUAAUAAUAAAGUUAGGUCAAUUGCUAUGAAAAAUUACUCCCAAUCUACCCUGUUUACCCUAUCCAAAUUUACUAACAUUUUUUGAAGAGCAAUAAUAGAGCCACAAAUUUUUGUACAAAUUGAUGUGUCAUGAUAAAAUUGAUUGAAUUAAAUAUCACUUGGCCCACAUAAUUUAUUUAUAUUAUUGUAUAUUUUCAUUCAACUAAUGAAUUGAUGCCACAUCAGUUUAUACAAGAAUUUGUGGUUGUAUCAUCACUCUUUUUUUAAAGUCUUGUCUCUCUCUCUCAACCAAUAAAAUAAUUGUCCACAAAAAAGGAAAAAAUCUAUAUGACUUUAUUUAAAAUUAGAGUCUUGAAUACUCUUAGGGCAUUAUUCUUUUUCCAUUUACUCUUUAUCAUGUGUAUACUUCAACCAAUUAUGAUAAUAUGUAUUGUGUAUACAUGUGACAAGAUUUACUCUUUAUUAUGUGUAUACUCCAACUAAUCAUGAUAAUAUGUAAUAUAUAUACACACGUGACAAGUAAUAAGUGGAUAAGAAAGGCCAUAUUAUUCAGAAAUCAUUUGGCUGAAUAAUGGUUAACUUCUUUUUCUAAAAUAAUUUUCUAAUAUAUAGAUCUUGCUAACUUACAUCAUUGCUAUUUUACAGUAAAUUUAAAUAUAAUUGUGUUGAGACCUCUCCUGUUUCAUGGCCUAUCUUAUUCUUGAGUUAGAUGAUUGAUUUUAGAUUAGGUUGAUUGUAAGGCUAUAUUUAGAAUUAAAGUUGGAUAGUUAUAUCUUUUAAAUUAUAACACUAAAAUAUUUAAUAAAUGCUAACGGUUUAAUCUUAAAAGUUGUAUUUGUAUCAUAAAAAAUCUAUAAUAUUUAUAUAAUUUUUGUUAAAAAAAUUAUUUCAAAAUUAUAUUUAUAAUUACAAUUUUUUCCCUACUUUAGCAUCUGCCAAUAAGAAAGCACCACGUAGCUGACAGGUCCAGCAAAGUACGUAAUCCGAAUCCACAGUCCACUUCACUCGGAUUUUAUGCAGAGUCACACAGAAGAGAGAAAAAUCAGAGUGAUCGGUUUCCUCAAAAUCUAAAAGAUCAAAAGGGCAAAAAAGAAAUGGCACCCUCUCUAGUAGCCAAUUCCGCUCCGGUAUUCUGCAAAUUCAGCCGCGCAGAAGACGCUGCGUACAUCCGACGCGCCGCCGAUAUAGCUGACAAGUCUGCUGGUUUCACAUCCCCGCACCCGAAUUUCGGCUGCUUGAUUGCCACCUCAACCGGGAAGGUUGCAGGAGAGGGCUACUUGUACGCGCAGGGUACCAAACCCGCGGAGGUGCAGGCAGUGGAAGCCGGCGGCUCUUUUUGCAGAGGCGCCACCGCGUAUCUGAACAUGGAGCCCGGUGAUUGCCACGGUGACCACACUGCUGUUUCUGCUCUUGUUCAGGUUUGCGCAUUGCUUCAAUUUUAUUUUCAUUUUUAUUUUUUUAUUGUGCUAUUAUUGUUUUAUUAGUCAUUAAAUUAGUCUUCAAUAUUAGCAGAAAAAACUUUUAUGGCACGUUAUGUGAUAUUCAUCAAUUCGAGAUGAGAAUGGAGCAAUGAACUAUUCUGAAACUCCAUGAAAUACACUGUUCAAUUGAUUAGUGUAGCUUAACUUCGUAUUCAUGACGUGUAAUUAAAAUGAAUAAUGUCUUUAAAAUGAAUGGACAUGUAAUGACUGUAGCAUACAUAUUUCCCCUAAAUAUUGUUGGAUGUUACUCGUUCUUACCUUGGAUGGGAAAAAAAGGAAGAGUUUUUUAGGCAAUUAUCAUAUCAUCAAUGUAUUUUUUCUUUAAGGAUUGUGAAUUAUUGGCCUGGAUUUUACCAAGUAUCUGAGCCUCCGUAUUAUUAAGAAAAAAUAUAUACAAUUAUGAUCCUAGGAAAGGAGUGUUUUAUAGUCUUUUGUCUAUUUUGGAAGAGGACUGGUUUUAGUAACUAAGGAUUGUCAAUUAUGGGUAUGUAUUUGGCAAAAUAUCCAAGAAAAUAAAUAAAUAAGUAUAUACACACAAAAUUUUGAUCUUGGGAAGGAUUUUUCUAGUUUUUCUUUCUUGCACUUCUAUAAGUUUCUAAUUGUUAUGCUUCAAUGAUCUGUUGAUAUAAUCGUUUUGUAGACUAGGCAGGAAUUACAAGAGUUGUUGUUGGAAUCAGGAAUCCUUUGCAGCAUCUUAGAGGCCAAGCUGUACGUGCAUUAAGAAGUCAAGGGCUGCAGGUUCAUGUUCUUGGAGAGGAUUUACAAAGUAAAAUUAUUGAGGUAUAGUGCGUAAUUGCUCUUGCUGGCUUGAGCUCUUAGGUCUUAUAGAUAUCAAUUUCUAAUGUGAUUUUUAAGUUUACUAAUUUUUCUUAUGCCACCACCUUAUGGUUAAUUUAUCAACUUGCAAAACUCCUUGUUUGCGGCAAAAUCAUAAUUGGUAAUCAUAAUUGGUAUCAUGUGCUAUUUUUAUUCUUUUAACGUUCAUAAUGAUUUUCCCUAGGAAGCUCGAAAAUCUUGCCUCCUUGUCAAUGCUCCUUUGAUUCAUCGAGCUACUUCUCGAGUUCCCUUUUCUGUUUUCAAGUAUGCUAUGACCCUUGAUGGUGAGUUUUAUGAAUUUAAUUGAACUUUUUACUCAAUUUUUAGGCUUUAUAUAUAUAAUAGAUCUUUAAAGUCAUCCUCCCUGGUGUACUUUCCUGGAUGCUAACAGGAAAAAUUGCUGCAAGUAGUGGACAUGCAGCGUGGAUAAGUAGCAAAACGUCUAGAGACCGAGUUUUUGAUUUGCGGGGUAGAAGUGAUGCAGUUGUAGUUGGGGGAAAUACAGUUCGCAGGGAUAGUAAGUAUCAUCUUUGUGACUACUUUAACAAAUUAUCACAAUUACCAAUAUGUGUACUUUUUCUUGAUCUUAUUGUCAUAUUCAGGCAAUGCAAUUAUAGUUAGGGAAAAAUACUGUCUGCAGCAACAAUACGAAUCAUUUCUGUGACUAAUGUUAUUACAAUUAUCAAUCUGUUCUUCUUGUUAUUCAACUUAUCACCAUCAACAGCAAGUAUGAUGUGAUUGUUUCUUUUCUUCUCUCCUCAAUUUUGGUAGAUCCACGGCUAACUGCAAGACAUGGAGGUGGGCAUACGCCCAUGAGAAUUGUAUUGACACAAACUCUCAACCUUCCCGAGGAAGCAAACCUUUGGGAUGUUUCUGAUGCACCUACCAUUGUUGUAACACAACGGGGAGCUAGGAGGAAGUUCCAAAAAUAUCUUGCAUCUAGAGGAGUUGAAGUAGUGGAGUUUGACAUCUUAAACUCUAGAGAUGUUAUGGAAUAUUUUCACGACCGGGGCUAUCUUUCUAUUUUGUGGGAGUGCGGAGGAACAUUAGCAGCAUCUGCUAUCUCAUCUGGUUUAAUUCACAAGGUCUUCUGUAAAUACUCUCAAGUUUAUAUCACUUUUAGAUCACUAUUUGGCUUUUUAUUACUUAAAAAUGAGAGUAUAGGAUGUUGUCAUUCUCUUGGCGGACCAACGGAAUAAAAAGAAAGUGUUGGAUUUGUCCUUUUUUAAAAAAUUUUUUUUAGAGGGAUUAGUUUAGCUAAUGCAUUUAGCUCAUUGCAUACUCUGCAACUCUGUAUGCUAUGAUGUAUUGGCUAUAUUUUCUUUUCUAGAUCAUUUAAAAAUGUAUUACCUUGUGCCACCAGCCACUAAGGGCUAACUUCUGAUUACUCACUUUUUUUAAGAAGGGGGAAAAAAAUCCCUAUGAAUCUGUGUGGCAUAAUUCAUUUGGGCUUUGAUAUCUUAAAAGGACAAGAAAAAGAUGGUUUAGUUGUCUUUAACAUGGUUUUCUAAGGGGGUAAAAUUUGCCAUUUCAUCUAUUCUCUGAAUCUGAUCUUUAUAGUUUAAAAGCACUUAUCAUAACUUUAAUUUUUGAAUUUAUAUUUCCAUCUUUGUUUAUUUGCAUUUUUUUGGGAUGAAAUUCUGACUAAAUUUGGUUAAAUUUUAAGGUUUUUCAAUUAUUGAAGUUUAUAUGAUGUAGGUUUUUGCUUUUGUUGCCCCUAAAAUUAUUGGAGGAAAGAAUGCACCAACUCCUGUGAGUGAACUGGGGAUGGUUGAAAUGUCACAGGCACUAGAUUUGAUUGACAUUUGCUAUGAGCAGGUUGGUGGUAAUUGUUGUUUUGCUUUUAAUGAUGUAAUCUUUUUUUUUAAUUAUAGCUCUUGUUGACAUGUUAUGGUACUGUGGUAGAAAGAGUGAUAAAUAUAUUCUAUUAUGACAAUAAUAUAAUAAGCUACUAAGUUUUGUCCAAGAAUGUUGCCCACUCUAGGGAUGUCUGGGGACCUUGAAUUAAUGUAUGGAACAUGCAGAUCUGACAAAAUUAGUUGCCGCUGCUGUAUAUAUGGCAGUGUAUUCACUUCUAGAUCACAGUGCAUUAAAGCUUUAUGGUUCAGUGCAGCAUUGACAACCCAUUUAUCAAGGUCUAGUCUCCUAUAAAGGGUUUACAAUGUAGCUUAGUUUGAUUAGUCUUUCCUAAGUGAACAAGAUUUGGCUACGUUGAUGGAGUUUGUGUCUUUCAAGCUUCAGUUUUCACUUGAUAUGGUGAUUCAAAGUACUUGAACUUGACACAACUCAAAUCUCUGUGUUUUGCCUCAUGGGACAUGGCAAUACAAAUGUGGAUCUAACAUCUGCCAUAACUACCUUUUGAAACAGUAUUCUGCUGCAUUUGUCGGAAAUAUGGUGCACCACGACUAUCAGCUUAAGCUUUUGGUCUAGUGGCAAGCACCUAAUCCUAGCAACCCAUGUUCUUGUCUCGGCGGCUCCUUGCAAUGGAUAUUUACCAUGGAAGGUUAUGGGACCUGAGUGAGGCCUCUUUUGGGCUGACCCAUGGACAGUUAUGGUGCCUGAGGGGGUUCCAUUGCAGGUAACAUGGGCUGCCGAGGAUGUUGGCCUGGAAGUAUGGUGGUCACCUAGAAAGGAAAUAUGGUGCACCACAUGACUAUUAGCUUAAGCUUUUGCUCUUGUGGCCAGCACCUGGUCCUAACAGACCCCAGUCCUUUGGUAAACACAGCUGGUCUGUUCAUUAAUGGUGUGUUUACUUAUGAGAUUGGGAAAUCGGUCUAGAAUGAGAAUAAUUGACGGUUUUGACUCAUAAAAAUAAAAGGGAGAAUGGGGAUGAAACAUGUGGUCUACAUGUUUUUGGAAUUAAGGAAUGGAAACUGGAUUCCCAUGGGCGGUUGGAAAUCAAGUCCUCAUUCCUUGAACUCACCAUUUUACCCCACUCAAAUUUGACAAUUUCACUUUUGUCCUCAAUAAAAAAUAUUAUUAUAUUAUUAUUUUAUUGUUAUAGUCAUUGUUCUUAUUCUUGUCAUUGUUGUUAAUAAUAAUAAUAUUGUAAUAAACAAUAAUAAAGAAAAUAAUAAUAAUAAAUUUAACAAUCAUCGUCAUCGUCAUCCACCUCCACUAUCAUUGGUUUUACUGUUUAGGGGUUCAUUUUCUAUUGGCUUGUCUUGAACUCUUUCAUUUUAGUUUUUUUGAGGGUCUAGGUAAAUAAGGAUUUUUUUAGGAAUUUAGUAUUCAUUUGAUGACAUUUUGUGUUUUGUGAAACGUUUUGUAAAAACUAUUUCGUAAAAUUGAAAUGUAUCAAAAAGAAAGAAAAGGCAAAUUUGGUUUUAACUUUUCAAGAUUUGAGAGUAUUUAUAUUCUGAGAACAGCAUUUUUAGAGCAAAAAACAGUGUAAACACAUUUGAUACUAGUAUUCUAUUGUGGACUGUGCAAAUUCUGUAAAGAAAUGUAGGCAUAAAAUCUCUUCUGACCAUUGUUUUAGUUUAACACUGCUUUGGGUAGACGACUUUUGUGUUCUGAAAUACUUCUAUUCAAAUACAUUUCUGAACAUUACUUCUCUGUUUGUAAAUUAAAAAGCAGGUUUUGAAAAUCGUAAUGAUCAGAUAGUAUCGAUUCCUCAGUGGGAGACAGUUUCUGAUAAAUAAAACUGUAAAUUUGUUGGGUUUGCUCCUUUGAUAUUCUUUCACUAGCCUAUUAGGUUUUAAACCCUAGGCUUGUUAGUUGUGUUUUGAAACUUCAGUUGCUGUAAAUUGUAUGCUGGUUUGGUUUUGUUCCAAGUUUCACUAGGGUCCAAUUAUUUUCUUUGACCAUUGGUUUCGUGCCCUAGGCUAAGCAAAUGCUAAUUGUUUUCAUAUAAUUUUUGUUGGUUGGAUACACGUAAGAACUUCAAGAGAUGUGGAUAACAAUUUCAAAUAAAUCUCCUUUUUCAUUAUUUUAGGAAGAUCCCUGAUCAUUUAUAUGGUGGCAAAUUUCAGGUUGGACCUGAUAUGCUCAUCAGUGGAUUUCUUCAGCCCAUCCCUGACCUGAUGCCUGUUAUUCCAUCAGAGGAUGAAACUUUUGCAAUUGAUCCUACUGUCACUCCUUAUGAACCAAGCAUCAUAUAUUUCUACAAGACAUGGGACCCUUAUGGUGCCUUUUCAAAUUUUUCUCCUCAUCCAAUCCAAAUGCCAGAUGUUAAUGGUGAUUAUGUAACUUGGUCAAGUGUGGAGCAUUACUACCAGGUAGUUCGCAUUUUUUAUUUUUCCAUAUUUCAUCUUGGAAAUUUCAUUGGAAAAUCUGCCGAUAUCGAGUCAAAAAUCUCCUGAACUUUUAGGCACACAAGUUUACUGGAGUGAAUGAUCCUGCCGCACAAGAUUUUGUUGAAAAGAUAAAAACUGCAAAAAGUCCAGAGGAAGCAGCACGAUUAGGCAGGUCCAUGCAGAGGCAACAUCCUGAUUGGGUAUGGCCAUUUCUACUUCUCCUUAGUUUAUCAUGGGUAAUUAAUUGUGAUUAAUUUUCUUUCCAUCAAAUUGGUAUGCAUUGAAUCUGCAUCAGAUUUUAGUAUGUUUCCUAGUUGUCUUGUUCAAGAUUUCUUUUUCCCUUGAAUCUUUGUUAAGUCAUUUUCUCAGGGGUAAGGCCUUCCUGAUUUUUAUCUUUUCCUUUAGUUAAUUCCCCUCAUUUUCUCCAUGUUUCAAUUAAAAAAAAGAAUAAAAUAAAAUUCUGUGGGUCAACUUGGAUUGAAGCAUUUAUGGAUGCAUUCAACUUAUUAGCAUAAUUGAAGACGUCCAGAUUCUAGGUUCUUUCACAAUUGUUUUAGGCAACUGGAGAUUAUUGUCCUGUCAAAAAUGGCUGUUGAAUGUCUAAUCUUGGAUUGCAUCUUGCUUGUUAUUUUUGAAUUGCAUUUUUCUUUUUAAUUUGUCAUUAUUUUUUCUGUUCCUUUAGUAGAUCUUUUCAUGUUCCUUACAUUAAUGUAUCACAGCCCUCGUGUCAGUCUACUGUCCUUUUGUUGUUUUCACUUGGAAACUGUUCUUUAUCAAUACACUAAUGUUUAAUAUUGUUUAUGCGUUGGACUCCUCUUAUUUGGGGUUUCUUCAUAUUGCUACUAUUCAAUUAAAACUUUUCUUCAACGUUGUUCAGUGAAUAUGAUGGCUAGGUGAAUUUACACUACUUUGUUAAUAUAUGAUAAUUUAAGGAAUGCAUUAUGUCUUGAGUAUCGGUGGCAAACAAAUAUUUGACAACAUAAAGUUUUACUCUGUUAUCAGUUGCUGAUAUGAAUCCCCCUAUCCCAAAUGAUCAUUUUGAUUGGAGUGUUACCUUAAAUUUUAGGAAUCAUUCCUGACAUGAACAAUAGAACAAAAUACUGGCAUAUAAUUAAAAUUAUGGUUAGAGAAAACCAAGUUUGUUCAUCCCUUACUUUCUCUGAUGACAAGAAUUAAUGAUUUUCCAGAAGAUAAAUGCAAAAAGAGGAAGCGAUUGGAAUUUUUAGUCAUUUUUCUUUUAUUACUGUUAUUUUUGACUUUUGGAUAUGAAUUUCUUUCGCAAUAUUUAUAAGGUGUUCCUCAACGUUACUCCUGCAGUCCACGUAUGUCUAUUACAUUCUAUCUCAAUUAUUUAAGAACCAUACCUCUGCUAUACUACAUGUCAACCUAUUGGCAUAUUUCCAUUUCCAUUUAACCUAGAAUAAUUUAUCAAUUUGUAACAUCCCACGUUGCUAGCCGAGCAGGCAUAAGUUUUAAGCUGUGCAUUCUCCUAAGUAGAUGCAUCUUGGUUGUAACAAAAUGACGGGCCAUGUCCCAAAACGGAUAGUAUUUACUUGGUUGUUGGGCCCGGGCUGUUAAUUGUGCAUGCAUUUCCUGUAAUUCUCGUCUUUUACAUGCAAUAGUACCAUGUGGACAUCAAAUUCUUCUGGAUAUCUAGUUGAAUAUCUUACUUCUUCCUUGCAAUUUGUUGUGAAUUAAUGCUCGGUGUUUGAAUGCAGGUCAGAAGUGAUUGGGAGAGUGUGAAAAUUGAUAUAAUGUAUAGAGCAUUAAAAUGCAAGUUCUCCAUUUAUCCUCAUUUGAACUCUAUGCUGCUCUCCACUUCUGGUUCUGUUCUUGUUGAAGCUUCACCACAUGAUCUUUUUUGGGGUGGAGGCCGCGAAGGAGAGGGCCUAAAUUAUCUUGGCAGGCUGCUGAUGCAGUUGAGAUCAGAAUUUCUUGGUGAAUCUCCUACAUCAAUUUAAAAGACUUUCUCAGCUCUACGAAUGGAGGAGAAAAUUGAUGAAAUUUGAUAAUGAUAAGUUAAUGGGCACUUAAUAUUUCAUAUUCUUUUUUUCUUUUGUAUAAAACUCUGUUAUGUCAACAUUGUACUACAAAAAUAAUGAUAAAUUCAUUUGUAACAUAAAUCUUUACAAUUAUUUUUUUGGCAUUCUCGGCUACCUAAAAAGAUGAACUCUUGUAAUUUUGAAUAGUUAAUUUGGUAUACUGAUUUGAAAGUUUAAUCGCUGACCUUGCAAACAUGUCAAGUUUUUAUAGCUUUUUCUAUGACAUUGGAGUUGCAGUUCCUAAUCUGUUAUGUUUGCUAAAAUGGCUUGUUUGUGGAGUUAUAAUUAGUUCUGAUUUUGACAGAGUAUGCUGUUGUGAUGCAUGACAAAUUAGAGCUACUAGCCUUCCAGGUAUUCUAGCCUUGAGAACUAAACUGGCUUGACUAGCUAUCUGAGGAUAAUUCCAAUGAAUAAAAGUGCUGUAAGAUGAAUAGCCAGUUACCAGGGUGAUUUUAUGCUAGUUUAUGAAAGUUGAAUCAUAUGCAGUACAUUUGAAGUUAGGAAGUUAAUUAAUUUAGUUUCUCCCAACUCAUUUGGAAGCUUUUUUGGAACUUUAGUAGUUGACUAUUGAGGGAAUAUAUUUUUUUUUUAAUAUAAUGGAAUUGAGCCUAUAGUUCAAGACAGACUAAGUUUAUAACGCUUUCAUAAUUUCAUUCUGGCCUUUCUAUUGUUGCCAACGGAAGCAUUAGUCAAGAUUAAUUAAAGCACUUCUCAUUUCCUUUUAUUUAUUUAUUUAUUUUUAAUUGUGAUGAUAGGAUCCAUUGUACUCUAGAGUCUAGAUCUUGUUUUGGAUCAGUCUAUUACGGUACAACUUGAAUCCGUGCCUUGCUCGGUACAACUUGGAUCCUUGAUGCGCACGACACAUUUGAGGAGAUUUGAAUUUUUGACCUUGUGUGAGGGAAGAGGGGUCAGAACCAGUUAGGAACUGCUUUUUGAGGGUCAACUAGUUUGACAUGCCUUAAAAUACAAAGUGCUCGCUUAUGUUCUAAUGAGAACUGCUCUAACAUCAGGGGCUCUGUUUGAGCCUUUAGCAGUUACUUUACUAGACUUAGAGACACACAUUAGGAAAAAGAAUUAUUGGAAUGCCCCAAGAGUGUUGCUCUAGCAUGCGGCAUUGUUCAUGCGAGGAUGAUCUAUGGUUUUGAUGCCCACAUCAACCAUUUUGUGUGCGCGCGUACACUCACAAAUGUACAAAUUCAUUUAUAUUUUAUAGCCUCCAGUUUCCCCCUUGUGUUUGUUGAAAAUUUGGUCUUAUGAUUUGGUAAGAGAUGUCUUGUAAGGUCAAGAUGUUUGUUGAUCCUCCUCUAUUUCUCCAACUUAUUUGGUAUGAUUUUUCUUUUGGUUCUAUGAAUUUUUUUCUUAGGUUUAUAGGUUAAAAAAAUUAAUUUGGUCCAUAGGUCAAAAUUUGGUUUGAUUUCGUUGUAUUCGAUUUUAGGUUUAAAGAACCGAUCCAGAAUUGAACCAAAUCAAGUACUGCCCUUUGUAAUGGUACGACUGAGAACAUUAGACCAAGGAAAGUAGUUGUAAACUUUUUACCAUCUUUUCUCCCAAAGUGAAAAAGAUGGCCAACUUAAAGACUGCCCAGCAAGCCCCAUAAAUUGGACCGAAAUUCAAAGACCAGAAAAUGGUGCAUAUUUUAUAAUCUUUUCAAAAACAAUGACUUGGAUAUUAUCGUUUCAGUUUAUUUUUGACAAAAACCAUUUUUUUCCCCUUUUUGAAAUAUUGAAUACAAUACGCUAAACUCAAUCCCCCAAUCAAAUUUGAAUUCACAAAUAUUGCAUCAGUAUAAUAUAAAUUUUUAGGAUGUUUAACACUAUUUCUAUUACUAAAAGAUCGGCUGAAUCCGAUCCCCCAAUCAAAUUUGAAUUCAAAAAUGAAUUUUCAUUCUUUUUUUUUUAUUUUUUAAUGGAAGUAAGGUGGGUGAUAACACAAAAUAUUUUCAUAUUUUCUCCUUAACAAUACAUUUAUUAGUUAUUUUUAGUCAAUUAAAUUAUUUUAUUGAACAGGAAAAAUAAUUGAAAAAAUACGCGUGGAAUUCAAGUUGAAGAAACCAAAGCCAGCAAAUUAAUUCAUUUGUACACAUUCAAACAAAAAGAAAAAUAAAUGAUUAAAGAGAAAUUAUCCAUCGGCUAUCUAUUUUUUUGCACUUUUUCAAAAAUACAUAAUUCGUAAUUUUUUUCGUUAAACUUCACUCGAAAUUAUAUUAUUUUGCAUCUGUCCACUUCCAUCUUCAAACUGUUAAGAGAACUAACGGAAUAUUGUAUAAAUAUAAUUGAAAAAAUACGCGUGGAAUUCAAGUUGAAGAAACCAAAGCCAGCAAAUUAAUUCAUUUGUACACAUUCAAACAAAAAGAAAAAUAAAUGAUUAAAGAGAAAUUAUCCAUCGGCUAUCUAUUUUUUUGCACUUUUUCAAAAAUACAUAAUUCGUAAUUUUUUUCGUUAAACUUCACUCGAAAUUAUAUUAUUUUGCAUCUGUCCACUUUUUUACCCCCAAAUGUAAAAGAACUAACGGAAUAUUGUAUAAAUAACUUUUUUACCCCCAAAUGUAAAAGAACAAUUAUCCACUAACCACUUUUUUUUUUUGCAUAUUUUGAAAAAUACACAAUUCUUAAUUUUUUUUUUGGCUGAACUCCACUUAAAGUUAUAUUGUUUUACACUUGUCUACUUCUGUCUUCAAACAAUAUCGUUGUAAAAUAAUAAUUUUAUCCUUAUGAUGUCAGCAAAGUUCUAACAUUUUAUAAUAGGAGUGGACCAGUAAAAAAAAUGUUAAUUUCAGGUGGAGCGUUGCAAAAAAAAAAAGAUUUGUAUAUUUUUAAAAAAGUUAGAAAAAACAGGUGGUCGGUGGAUAAUUACCAAUGAUUAAAAUGUAUUUUGGCUUUAAAGAUAAAGUGACCAGCAUGUGAAAAAGGUUUAUAAUUAAUUCAUGUUAAUAUAGAACAAAGGAAACAAAUUAAUAGCUUUUGGCUUUUACCAUUUUAAAUUAUGUGGCAAGCUUUGGGUUUAGGAUAUGGGAAUUAUAUAAAGUAAAGGUGGCCAACGGUUUGGUUCGGUUUCAAACUGAAUUGUCAAUUUUUUAAAAAAAUAAUAAUUUAAAUCGAACCAAAUCAAAUUGGUUUGAUUUUUGAUUUGGUUCGAUUUUUUAUUUUAAAUUGUAAUUUUCUUUGUAUUUUUUUAUUUUUUCUCAUGGCAAUAGUUUUUUAUCUACCUCUAAUAUAAAGGCAAGAAAGCUGCACAAUUGAGGGACAAGCAGAGAUACAAGAAGAGAAGUAAAAGUCAGAGAGGACGAAGAGCAACAAUAGUCCUUCAAAGCUUUCAAUUGGCUGAUUAUAUUAAUUUUGUUGUUCCUAAUUCAAGUAUUUAUAGCUAAUUUUCAAAUAUUGAGAUUAAGAACGAAUUCUAUUUAAUAAAAUAAUUAUUUAUUUAUUUAAUUAUUUCCCUACACGUAUCUUUGAAGAUUAAUUGAUAAUUAAGUAAUUACUAAUUAGAUAGUGGUGGAUUUAAAAACCUUAGUAAUCUUUGUCUUAUUGAAAUAUUCUUUACCUUAAUUAUUUUCUUAGUUUAAUUUCUAUUAAAUUGAAUUUUAUCAACUAAGAGCUUUAGGGAUGUAUUCAUGUGCACUGCGUUUUUUUUUCUCCUUUAGUGAUGAGUCCUCAUAGUCUAAAGGUAUAACUUAAAUUGUCUUUUUCACCAGCAUCUCCACUUUGUUGUUAACUUCUUUGCCUUUUCAUAAGGUUAUGAUGGCUUUGACCUCUUCAUGCUGUUGGAGUAACUUCAUGUACUCCCUUAGGAUUGGGUACUGGCUAGCUUGGGAAUUUGCUUUUCUCAACGGUCAUCACUAAAGUUUGAACUAAAGAGACAAGCUAACCCACCAUCUUUUCGACAUUCAAAAUCGAUUGGUCUUGUGAAUUUAUGCUAGCUCUCAUCUUAUUCCGCACUCGUCAAUGGUGAUAUUUUUUAUUGUUGCAGUGCAAAAUGAGUCAAAAUUUUGAAAUUUUUAGUGUCUCUUACAAUGGUUUGGUAUGUAAGUAGCUUUGAUUCUGAUUAUACUGUCUAAAUGGUGGCUGAGAGAUUUGAGGAGCUUGGUAAACUGGUUGUACUGGUGUUGGUCGAGCUGCUAUUCUACUCUGUUGGAAUCUGUGAGACAAUGAAAAGUUGGGAUGAUCUCUCCAUCUACAUUUGUAAGCAUUGGAGUAACGGUUGUAGUUCGACUACUUUCUCAUCACAUUGAUGGCAUUAGCUUGACAUGAGUAUGAAUCAUGGUCAAAUUGAUUGUAGUCACGUGGGUUUAUUGAUUUGGCAGCUGUUAAUGAUGCUAUUUGGUGAGAAAGUCUUUCAACUAUUACUUUGACUUCCUUGAUGUCCGAUCCUAAUUUGCCAACGUGGAUUUCAUUUAAUCCCUUAAUUUUUCGCAAGCACACAAAUUUAUUAUAGUAUAGAUUAAUGGCAAUGAAUAUCAAUCCCACAAUGAUAAGGUUAAUUUUCCUAGUUUAUAUUGGUUGGAUGUGAUUUUCCGAGUAGUACUGAAAUUUAAAUUAAUAAAAUGAUGGGAGUAAAUUAAGAAUGAAACAAUUCAAAUGAAAGACUUGAGUCUCUAGAUUCAUACUUAACAUUUUACCAUAAGCUUAAUAUUCCCUUUUAGUUCCAAUUAAUUUAUGAGGAGGUAUUUCCACUCCUUAUAGUCUUCAUUCUAGUAAAUAUGGUAUCAAACACUCAUUGUGAUAGAGGGAAAUAAUCUUCUGUUAAAUGGAUGUCAAGUACAUGCUAUACUAGGUGAUAAUAAUCCUAUUGUUGACAAUGUGGCAUUACCGUCCACUAAAUAACUUAAAUUCAUAUUUUGUCUACACUGAGUUAAGAUGAACCAAUAAUACUAGAGGGGAGUUUCUCACUAAUAAAUAUAGUGUAAUGUGCUCAUUGUCCAAAUAGUAAUGAUCUUGCACUAGGGAGCCGGUAUACUGUGUAAAAUCUACAAGAUCAUUAUUAUCUGUUAACGAUGAGUCAAAACAAUCCACAUAAAUCAAAGAGAGAUGACGAAUAAACUUACUAAAUUAAGCUCAUGGAUCAUGUUGAAACUUUACCUUUAACCCAAACCUAAAUUUAAAUUAGCCACUAAUAAUUGAACUAGGGGUAAAAUGAUAAUUUUAUUAAAAUACAUAGAAAAUACAAGAUAGAGAGAUAACUGUAGAAAAUAGAGUUCAAAUUUGGAUUCAGAGAUGUGGAAUUAGGGGGAGAGCCUUCCAAUUAUAGAUACAAUAGAUAAAUAAUGGUAAUUGGAUAAAAAAAAUUUGUACGCUCAAGAUUGAACAGUGGCAAGCUUUGAUUGGUUGGAACACAUCAUGAAAUCUAUGAUUCGGUCAAUAAUAUGCUGUCACAUCAUAGGUCAAUGUCACGUCAGCAUUUUUCAAUCCAAUAGAAUAUUACCACUUCAUCAAUCAUUAUCACAUCACCAUCAAUGUCACAUCAACAUUUUUCGGUCCAAUAAGACCCACCAAAGUCCUAAAAUCAUGAUUUUGCCCUUUAUGCCUUUUUUUAAUGUUUUCAGCUAUUCUGAGCUCUAAAAUGCUGUCUAUUUUGUUGCCUAAUUUCUCGUUAAUUAUGAAAUAACCAAAACACCAUUGAAAUACAUAAAAUACUCAAAUUAUAACAAAACACAUACAAUCAAAGUUUAAAAGACAUAAACACAUAAAAGUACAAAUGUUAAUGAGACUUGGAGUGCAAAAUGACAAUUUUUAACUUUUAUAAAUAUGUAUUCUUCAACACUCAACAGUGACAACUGCUCCAUCAUUGGUGAUGGCAUUACUGAUUGAAGGGGACAAUGAAGGGUACUAUUAGACUUUAAAUUAAAUGAUCUACAAAAUGAUAUCUCAAUGACAAAAAACUAUGAUAUAGGGUCGCACGUGUAGUGACGUGCCUUCCAAAAAUGGCUGCCACUGUAACUAUGCCACACGGUGAGUUGCAUUACACUACCACUCUUAUCCAAUUUAGAGACCGAUAAUUUGGUUGUCAAAGGUGGUGAUGAACCUUAAAAUACUACGUGAUCAAGUGCUCUUGCUAUGGUUGCUUGCAUUGGAAAGCGCAUUUGUCACCAGCAUAUCGCGCAUUUGUCACCAGCAUAUCGCUUUAUCCAGCAACGUUACUACCAUUUCAUAGAUCGAAGAAUUUUGAAACUGUUAAUAGUCAGUUACUUCUAUUUUUUGGAGAUGGUGUCGUCAUUGUUGUCGUUGAGUGUGCAAUAAUAUUAGGCAAUGUCAUUUUGAUUUUUCAUUUAAUUUGCAAAACUUGAAUAUUAAUUAUAAUAUUCAAUUUUAGUAUCAUAUAUUUAACUAUUAAUAAUAUUCAAGUUCGUGGAUGGAUAUUAAAUAAACCAAAUCUACAAUAUUUUUGAAAAUAUUAUCCAAUCUAUUUGGAUCGGAUACUUGGAUAUCCAACUUGAAUGGAUUUGCUUGGUAUUCCUAGUUGUCAACUCGAUUAAUAACUAUAUUGCCUUAGGUUUUAAAAUUUCUAUUAUGAUAAUCUGUUUAUAACACAAUUAAUUAUAUUAAUUGACUUAUAUUUAAUUGAUAGAUAUGUGUUGAUUUUUCAUAUUUUAAAAAUAAUUUAUUUAUAUUUAAAACAAAAUUGAUUAGAGAUUAAGAAGAUAGCACUUAAAAAAUUUAUAGAAAAUAAAAGAAUUAAAAAUAUAUUUUUAAUUGAAAAUUAAAGUUUUGCUAGAUAGGUAACACAAUUAUGACAAGAUAAUAAAUGGGUUGGGUAAGGUUGAGAUUGGAUUAGCUUAAAUUGGCCAAUAUGACAUGAACACGAUUCACUGACUUGAAUUGUCAACUGUUGUCCAUGCACAAUGUUAAUGAGAGAGAAGAAAGAAUAGAAAAUAUUUAUUUUUUUGUUUAUUUUCAAUAAAGAAAUAUUUAAAUUAUUUUCAAAUAGAGUAACAAAUGUUUAGAUUUAUUUUUCUUUUACCCUUCUCCCAUUUAAGUUAAUGAAAUAUUUUAAUUGUAUGAAUGUGUGCCAAUGACUAUUUAAAAUGUUGGGGUAGAGAAACAAAUGUCAAUUUAUUUAAAUGCCCAAUUAAACUUAUUCUUUUUAUUUAAGGACAAAAACUCAACCAAAAAUACAAAAGCCCUCCUUCAAACAAACAAAAAUAAUUUUGUGGACUCAUAAACUAACACUUUUAUUAUUAUUGGCAAAUAAAUAUAUUUUUAUUACAUAAUCAAAUAAUUGAUAGUAUGCUAAAUAAUAUUAUGUUACAGAAAAAAUAAAACAUUAACGGCAUAGAAUAUGAAAUUAAAUCAUUAUCAAAUUUUGUACAUUCCAUCUACUUGAGAUAAUAAUCUUUUGUGUUAUGAUAUUCAAUGAUAAUAAAAUCUUUUGUGUUAAGAUAUUCAAUGAUAAUAAAAUCUUUUGUGUUAUGAUAUUCAAUCUUACUCAGUUGGGUGAGAGAAAAUUGGUUGCCAUUAGGUUAAAUUAAAAAAAAAAUCAUAUUUACAUUUACCAUCAAUUAUGAUUAGUAAGUAAUAUACAUAGUUUAACUAUAUAUUAAAUUAAUUAAUUUGCUAAUUAAUAAGAAAAUGUAUUAAUUUAAAUAUAUAUUAAUAAAAGUAAGAAUACGUCAUUUAAUUAGAAACGUAGUUCUAUAGUGUAAAAAAAUUAAAAUAUUAUGGACUUAUAUGUCAAAAUUUUAAAACUUUUAAUAUAUCUGAUUUUGCAUAAACAAUAGGGACUUUUAUUGUUAAUAAUCCAAUGAACACAUCUAAGCCAUUGAUUGGGCUACUCUUGGGCUAAAUCUAACUGUGGAUUUGAAGAAGACAAAAAUGGGUACAAAACCCGGUGGGAAACAUAGCCGGACCCAUAAUCUUCAUAUUUAGUUAAAACAAUAAUUAUAAUUGUACCAACACUAUUUCCUAAAGCUCUUUUACACUAAAAAUCACCUGAUUAUCAUUGCUUGAUUAACGUUUAUAAUAAUACAUGGUGGUUGAUUUAAAUAAAGAUUUUGAUAAUGUUGACACAAAUUAAACAAAUAAAUAAUAAGGCAUGCAUAUAAUUGAGUUGAAUUCCUAUAGCUUAUUUGAAAUCUAAAAAUUCACAUGCAAAUUGUGGAACUAGUUGUUUUCAUACAAAUAUUUGCUUCGUCAAUCUGUUAUUUUCACAGUCGAAAAUCAAUUAAUAAAUAAAGAAACAGAUAAAUGAGAACAAAGAUAUGCUUAUUUUUUUGUUAAACAUGAGAUAUUUUGUUUUGUUUCAUUUUUUUUUUUCCAGUGCUUACCAAAUCGUUUGGGAUGUUGUUGGUUGUUUUCUUUUGUUCCAUUUUUUUAAGUGCUUAUAUUAUUUGUAAGAAAUUGAUUGGGAUGGCAGACAAUUCAAGCCUCAUAAAAAUACUAUUAUAAUAUAAUAAACCAAAUAUCGAAGCCAACAUGUCGUCAGGAAAGAAAAGGGAAAAAAAGAGAACAAUUUAUGGGAUACAAGUUCAAGUGUGACAUGCAACAAUUGCAAAUGACAUGAGCAUAUCAGGUUAUGCACACCAAAAUUAGCUCUAAUAAGUCAGAUUGAAAAAGAACAAUGCACUUUGAGAGCUCAGAUAGUGUUAUGUUAUGGUUGGAGUUAGAAUUACAAGUCUUAGGAUUGAGUUAUCGGAUAGAGUAAAUGCUUGUUUCAUUUUUAUAUCUUGGGUUAAGUGUUUAUUUAUACUCUAUAUUUAAAAAAAAAAAUACUUCAAGACACCUUUACAGUUAAAUAUGUUAUACUCUUAUCUUUAUUUUUUCUUUUUUUUUUACAAUAAUACCCUUGGAACAAUAUUCAUUGGGAUAUUAAUGAAAAGAAACAAAUGAUAAUCUAUUCAAUUAACCUUAAAAGUAACAUAAAAAUUUACACAAACUUUUAUAGUAUUAUUUUACUUUUAGGAGUAAUUUGGUAAAUUAAUUUUAAAAAAUAAUUAUUAGUAAGAUUUUUGUAAGGAUACUAAACAUUACUUUAAGUUGGUUGAUAUUAAUUUUUGUAUAAAUUAUUAUUAGUAAGAAUGUUGCACAAGUACAAAAAAUACCAUUUCGUUUAUACUAAUAUUUCUUGGUUAAUUUGCUAACAGAUAAUUAUUGGUUAAUUUGAUAAUCAAUCUUUUAUGGAUAAAUUAAUUAAUGUCGAGAAUUUUGUUGGUAGAAUAUUUUUGUAUAAAAAAUAAAGGUAAGAAUGUAAUAUAUUUAAUUUCAGUAUUUUUUGAGAUUUUUUUUAAAAAAAAAUAUAUGAAUCAACGGACUUUUGUGUCAAAAUAUAGUGACUGAACAUGCAUUUUCCCUUAUUUAUGAGUAUCUCUCAUGAUUUGAGCCAUAGGUUCGAUUAAUUUUUUUUGUAAGUAUGCAUUUCUAUUUAUAUAUGGCCAAGACUUAUUUAUUAUAUUCACAUUUAUCAAUUACCAAUCAUGUAAUUAUAUCUACUUAGAUAAAUGAUUAGAUCACGAGAGAAUUCUUAUUUUUUAAAUCAAGAGGUAUGAGUGUGGGUGUUAGCGAGAUCAGUUGGCAAAAUCUAAUAGAUAUAAAAGAAGAGGUAUUAGGGUUUUACCCCGCUCAUACACAUUGAUGGGGAGAAUAUUUGGUUGCCAUCAGCCCAAAAAAAAAAAGGUAAUAAAACUAUGAAGAAGUACAAGUCAAUGUUUCAUAUUAACAACCGAAAGAGGUAUAGAUUUGUGGUUGCGGAACAAAUACCUUCAACUUGCAGCAACUUUACUCAAGAUUGGAAAAAGAACAACCAUUUCUACUCCAAUGCAUAAUCCCAUUUGCUCAACUUAUCAAUGAAGCUUCACUGAUCCCUAUUUGUUUCCAUUACAUCCUAUAUUUUUCGUUACAUUUGGCAAAAGUUAAUUGCCCUAGAAGCAGUAGUAUAAGGUAUGACAUAUUAGGGUUUAAUCACUUUUAUGUUUGUUAUUGUAUUAGAGUCAUGUUAGUAUCUUAAUUUACGACUUUGAUUUAUUGAGUAAUUAUGUUCAUUUUAAGAAAGACUGGUUUACCCUAAGAUAUAAAUAGGAAUAUCUUGUCAUUGUUUUAGAUAAUGUUCAAUAAAUAUAUCUCUCAUUUAUUUUUCGGAUGGGGAUGGUAAUUUUAAACCUUGAAAUGUCACCAUUAAACCUUGUGAUUGCCACAUAACUUUUAUGCAUAUGUGUAUAUAUGUAUGUUUGUAUACACUCACAAAUAUACAUAUAAAUAAAUGUAUAGAGCCCUCACUUUGGACUUUCUUUGUUGAAAAGUUGGUCUUUGUGGUUUGGUAAGAGCUCUAAGUCAAGAUUGUUGAUUCUCCUCGUUAUUUGUAAUGAUUUUUUUUUGUGGAAAAUUCGGACAGUUUUCUUAUGAUUCAAUUUUUUCUCUUUUUAUAGGUAAAAUAUCUUCAAUCGGUCCAUAUAGGUCAAAAAUCCAUAUAUCGCUAAUUGCUAUGAAUGAGAACAUUGAAGUCUUGUUUAUAAUUAAAGUUAAACGGUUAUAGUUUAAAAGUUAUAUCACUAAAAUAGUUGGUAAACAUUAAUUAUUUUAAUUUAAAAAUUAAAUUUAUUUACACUUAUAUAAAAAAAUUACAGUACAUAAAUACCAAACAAAGCCUAAAUUAACUAAGAAAAGUAGCAGUAACCUUUUACUAUCUUUUUCUUCUUUUUUUAAAGUGAAAAAGAUGGUCAAUUUAAAGGCCGCUAAGCAAGCCCCAUGUAUUGGACCGAAAUGCAAGGACCAGAAGUGGGUGCAGAUAUUUUUUGUAAAGAAUAUGUUAUGUUAGUUUCCAAACUAAUAAUAAAAAUAAUAAUAAGCACAUGUGUUAAAAAUAACAUGACCUAAUUUUUUAAUCAACAACGAUUUUGAUAUUAUUUAGUUUAUUUUUGACAAAAUCCGUACUUUUGUUGAAGAUAUAAUAGGAGAGGUUAUUUGUACUUUAAAAAUUAUUCUAAAUACUCAUUUACAUUGAACACUUAUUUAUUAAAUUUUUAAAUAAUCAUUUUUUACUUUGUAUACUUGUUAAAAUUUCAAACAUAGGCUCAAUGCUUUCUCUUUACUUUUUAAUAUAUCCAUGCUACCAUAAUACCCAAAUCAAUUUUUUUUUUAAAUUAGUGGUGAAUAAAAUCUAAAAUAAUUUGUUUUAUUUCCUUGAUUCAUGACAGAUUAUGUUUUCAUGUGAAAAGAAUAAAAAGACAAACUCGAAAAGUCAAAUAUUUUGCAUCAAAAUCAUCUUACCUGUAUAUAUGAGAAAAAGAUAUGCUUGUUUUUUGGUUAAACAAGAGAUUUUCCCCCCCCUAAUACAUGAUAGAUUAUAUUAAGAUUUUGCGUAUAAUCUUAGAAUUUAGUUAGAAAACUAAAAUUAUAAUUAAAUUUUGUAUCAACACUAUUCCUAAACCUGAAUUGUAUCAUAAUUUUUGACAAUCAUUUACAAAUUAAUAAUGAAGCAUAACUCUUUUACACACAAUAAUUAAGUUGAGAAUCAUUGACCAUUUUAAUGGCUAUGAGACAAUGUGAAAAUGAUUUAAAUAAAAUAUAAUGUUGACACAAAUUAAACAAAUAAAUAAUAAGGCAUGCGUCAAACGGUUCAAUGUUAGUGGACGUAAUUGAGUUGAUUUCCUAUAGUUUAUUUGACGUCUCAAAAUUCACAUGUAAAUUGUGGAAGUAGUUGUUUUCAUAGGAAUACUUAAUAAAUAUUUGUCACUUUCAUAUAUGGUCAAAAAUCUAUUAAAUGAUUAGUAGGUAUCAGAAGUUUACCAGUAUUAAAAAAUCUAUUGUUAUUUAAACAUAUAUUAGUUAGACAUGAAAAACCCAUUGCUUUAUGUGAUAGCAAAACCUGGAGUUGACAACUACAAAGAUUGUGUGAUUAGUAACAAAUAUUGAUCGUGAAUGUUAUUAUUUUCAUUUUUAUGUUAUGCAAAUUCAUGGAUGAAAAAUUAAUAUUAUCAAAUAAUAUUUAGUUUAUCAUUAUUUUUUUUUAAAAGCUUACAUCAUUGUUAAGAAAUCGGUUGGGAUGGCAGAUAAAUUUUUUUUUUUUUUGAAUACUGUUUAUACAGGACUGUAGGUAUUACAAUUAAUAUUUACACACAGAUUCUACAAUUGGAACCUUCAUUGUGGCAUGUACUCCUCUAAAGAGCUGCCCAAAUUCUUCAAACCCUCUCAAAUAUUCGAGGGCUGUCCACUCACGAAAUGAUCAUCGUGGCAUGUACUCCUCUGAAGCGCUGUCCAAAUUCUUCAAACCCUCUCAAAUAUUCGAGGGCUGUCCACUCACGAAAUGAUCAUCGUGGCAUGUACUCCUCUGAAGCGCUGUCCAAAUUCUUCAAACCCUCUCAAAUAUUCGAGGGCUGUCCACUCUACUCACAUUUCGUGAGGAAUAGACUGGCUCCACUCAAUUAUGUGAUAAUUGAGGAAUGAUUGUAAAUAAGCCCCAUAAAUGCUUUUAUGGAGGCUCGAACCCUUGCACUCAUUAUUCUAAGUGUAAGGACUUUCCCACUGGACCAAAGGCCCAUUGGUGGAUGGCAGAUAAAUUUAGUUUAAUAAAAAUGGUACUAUAAUAUGGGUCUUGUUACGAUGCAUUAACUGCAUCUUGUACAAGUUUUUUUUAUUAAUAGUAACUAAAUUUUGUAAUAAGUUUUCAUAAUAUGCAUUAUGAGGAGGAAAAAAAAAUUACAUAUAUAAGAACUAUACGAUGCAUUAACUGCAUCGUGUACAAGUUUUUUUAUUAAUAGUAACUAAAUUUUGUAAAACGUUUUCAUAAUAUGCAUUAUGAGGGGAAAAAAAAAUUGUUAUCAUAAUAUUCUAGACUACCAUUUUGGUUAUCCAAUUGUUAUCAAUCAAACUUUUGUCAAACUACCAUGAAAAUAACUGCAGCUUUUCCCAAAAAAGUGAAUAAUGAGUAAUUUACCACGGAUUAUUUAUAUAUUAUCUAUUUUUAAAAAAAAAAUACAUUGAAAUUUCAUUAAGAUUUUUAAUUGUUAUCAUAACCUAGCGGUAAUUUAAUUUCCUUCCACCCAUAUGAGACGGAUCUAGAUUCCAAACAUUAAAGGGGAAAUCUUCUGUUUCUUUUAGAAAAACGAGAAGACUUUGAAACCCUUUCUCCUUUACAAAUCAUGUGCUUGACAAUUUUCUCAUCCAACCAAAAGGGGAAUUUUUUUCCCUCAUUGGUAAUAACAACUUUUCUUUUUCAUUUUUUUUUAUUUUUGUCUAUCCUUUCACUCUGUAUGAAUAAGGUAGAUUGAUUUUUUUCCAUCCAAAUUUAAAUUUAUAGUAACUUUAAUUGUAUUUGUUUUAUGCUUUUUAUUUUAUUUGUUGAUUAUUUUCUAGUUAUGAAAUGUUUAUAACUAGGCCUGGAAGAUUUCAUGCUUUAGAUGAUCGAUUGUUAUAGAAAAUGUGUCAUUGUACUAAUUAGAAAAGUCUCAUAAUAAGCACAAUAUUUUUUGUCUUUUUAACUUAAUGCUUAUUUUAUUAAAAUAAGUAAUUUCAUUAGAAGAGAAAUCUAUAAUGAAUUAUUAUUAUAUCAAAUUCUUAUAUGUAUUGUCUUUAAUAAUGAUCUGCCCGAAGUAUUCUGCGAGUACCAUACCUCAUAAUUGAAACAUCAGCAAAUGAUUAAAAAAAUUAAUAAAAAAAAUUAAAUAAUCUCACGAUGUUCAAAUUGGGAGAUAAGAUGGCAUAGGAACCACAAUCAAGGCCCUUUAAUAAAUGAAAAGAGGGGAGAUUUUCAAUAAAGCUGAGGGAGACAACUUACCAACUUUGAAAUGACUCCAUUAUGCUAAAUGACUGCCAAAAUCAAAGAGGAUUUUGGAAAGAUGAACCGACCCACUGGUUCAUUCCUUGCAUUUUACUUUUGACUCGACAGAUCAAAGUGCUAUCCCCAUGCCUAGAAGGUUCAAUAGUUCGGUACCGCUAUUUCAAAAAACCUUCGACGCAUUAUUUACUGAUAAAUGUUACAAAAUAAUAAGAUCCGUACGUGCUCUUGUAUUUCAAAACACUACUUUGGAUGUUGAUCAUGUAUGAUUUCACUUUUAAAAUUAUUAUUUGAAAUUUAUUGAGACUUUUGACACAUAAAUUUUAUAACACCACUUAAAAAUCUAUCGAAUUAAUUAAAAAAAAAAAUUCUUAUCACUCUUCCAAAAAGGACUUGCAUGAGAUUCGAACUUAUGAGCCCAAACAUAUGUUGGGGGUAUAAAUAUCACUAAGCUAUAAAUCUGGUGUCAAUGCAUUUAGCAGUAUAUCAGUAGGAUUCAAACUAAUUACUAUACCUGAAAAGAACUCAUCAACAAUUAAUUGGCACCCCCUGCUUUCUGUCGUAUUAAUACAUCUCAAAUCAUAUAGACAGCAAAAAUAAAGCAAAAAGACAAAAGCAAGAUAUGUAAAACAAUUUAUUUAUUUAUUUAGCAAAAGUAAUGACACGUGCAUAUAUUAAAAAAUGUAUGUGGGACAGUGCCCCACAUAGGAAUGACAUGGACUUUCCUCAAGAGAGGGAACAACAAAAUGUGUUAUCACGUGCAUGCAUGCACGCAAGAUCCCCAAGAGUCUUCACAGCUUAUCCAAAGCUGUGUAAUCCAAAGACCUUGAAUUUCAAAAUCAUAAUCAUGAAAAAAAAUUUCGUCCGAUUAUAAAAAUAGAAGAUAAUUACGUUAUGGGCUGAAACUGAAAUGAAAGUUUGAAUAAAACUUUUUAGUUCAUAAAUGUUACUGUUGUUUAGUUACAGAGUUGAAUUACUUUGUUUUUUUUUCCCCAAAUUAUUACAUCAUCACUAGAUAUCUUUAAUUUGGGACAGUUGCUUUCCAAUCGGGAAGCUAAGUGCUCAUGGAGCUCACUUGAUAGUAUUUUGAUACCAAAUUCUCGUGACUUUUAAAUUACGGUACCUAUAAACUAAAAAUUAUUACGAACAUCAUUAUCGAAGGCUUAAGAAUAAAUCUUUCUAAAAAAUGAAUGAAAUUUAUAUAAAAAUAGCAGCCAUAGACCAAUUGUUAGGUUGUUAGCAACCACCCCAAACAAAUGAGCCCUGUACUACUCUUAAAAGUUAUUGUUGGAUAUACAAUUGUAGCAAUUCAGGCCAACAACCAAAAGCCUAGAUUGUUUCCUAUUUCUUACACUACCAAUCAAAUUGAAAAUUUUUAGUUUUACUAUAUAAACCUUUAUAAAUACUCAAUAUGACAUCGACUGACAAAAAUUUAUAUAUAAAUCCAUUAAUUAAAUAUUAAUUUUUAUCAAAUACAAAAAUAAUUUUUUAUUAAAUUAUUGUUAAAAUGUAAUUUGUUCAUCACAAACCAACAAAUAUAAUUUAUUCAACUAUAUUUUUUAACAGAUGGUCAAAUUUAAAUAACCCAACAUUUAUAUAAAAGUAAAACUCAGUAUAUAUAUAAUUCAUUACAUUAUUAUCACCACAAAAAGGAUUUGGGAGAAGCUUUUAACAAAAGAUAUACAACUAGUGAACUAGAGAUGGUAUAGGGAUUACAACUAUCUUCAGUUUUUUAAAAGAUUAGGAUUUUACUUGAAAAAUUCAUUUUCUAAUUAAUUGUGCUUUUUGUGUUGGAAGUAUGACUAGCGGAGAAAUCCAAUUAGGAGGUUGAUUAAGAACAUUUCAUUACCAAAAUCCUUCAUCAUUUAUACUUUUGAUUAAUUGAAUUAGAAUAAAAUAUAACAAAUUUAAUGUUUAGGAGGGAUGUAUACAUUGGAUGUAUUUAAAAGUGAUUACAAAAAUUUUAGAAUAUAAAACUUUCUUUUUAUUUUAUUAUCUUGGCCAUAUCAGUAAUUUAUAUUUUACGUAUUUUAGUAAUAAAUUUUUUAAUUGAAAAAUGAGCUUAAAAAGAUAUUUUGAUGGGUUUAAAUAAUUUUACCUAUCCCCUCAUUAUCGAAUACUAUGAGGGAUUUAUAGAAAUUGAAACAGAAGGGACUUAAAUAUUAAAAUAUUAAAAUAUCUAGUUUUCUUAGUUUUUUAAUAAACAAUAAGGACUCUAAUGUAAUUAGAUCAGAACAUUUUUUGUCCUUAAUUAUGACUAAUGAUUUUUUUUAAUAGUAACGUGGAUCAUGUUACGAAGCAAAUUGGCAAAAUAAAAAUAAACAUAAAAAUAAAAAUAAAUGUUUAUUGAUGCAUGCAUGUUUCACGUUUUUGCCGACCUAAUCGAUUGCUUCAAUUUGAUUAAGAUCUUUAGCGACCUCAAUUAAUGGCUUCGUUAAAAUAAUAGUUACAUUUGAUUUCUUAAUUUUUUUUUCAAAUUAAAUGACAAGGAAUCUACACUUUUUUUUUCUUAAUCAGACAAAAAUGUCAGACAUCUCUCUAAAAUGUUAAAAAGAAAAUUAUCCUUUAAUCUACAUUAUCUUAAAAAGUUCUAUAAUUCUAUAAUGCAUGAUUAUUGUCAUGAUUAAGAUAAUAGUAAUUUAUUUUUAAGUUAUUCAAUAUUAAUUUAAUAGCCUAUUAUAAUAUUUAACAUGUACCGUAAUAUAUAAAUAAUCAAAAUUAGAAGACUGCUGACAAUUGCAUGGCCAGGUGAUUUUUAGGUUAUUUUAUUUAGUUGGCCAAUCAUGUUACAUUAAGAAGCACUGUCUUCACAUUUAUCUGAUGUGAUUCAAGAUUGGAAUGUGCCACCAAUACCAUUAUGAUCCUAAAAAGUCUUUUCAAGAAAUUGGUGAUAAAGUCUCUUUUAUAGUUGAUGCAUUUUUUUGGUAUAAAGUCUUUGUGAAAAAACGCCUCUUGUAUCUCGUUACAUUGUCUUUUAAAUUCUUUUGGUCUUAAAUAUCCAUUUGCAACUAAUAAGUUUAGUAACUUUUGGUAAUAGGACAAGAUCCUAUACGUCAUUGUCCUUCACGGACCUUAUCUCCUUAUUCAUAGCAUUUUUUAUCACUCUAAUAUCUACCUCACGUUCUUAAAGAAAUAUAAUGUAGUCAUCUGGCACUGCAUAGUGAAUCUCCUUAAUGGUUUGGGUUCUUGAGAUAGUAGUGUUUUUUCUUUUGGAAUAAUUUCUUAUAUAAGAGGUUCUCCAACAUUGUGUUGAUUUGUUGUGUCUUGAAUAAAGUCAGGAAUGAGACCCUGAUCAAUGUUAAUAACACCUACAAAUAUAUUCCUCUUCAAAGACAAAGUCUCUAACUUUAUCUUCCCUUAUAGACUUGACAUCUUCAAAGAACUUAGCAUUUCCCGACUCAUAAAUUGAUUUAAUCAUGGGAUCAUAAAACUUGUAAUCCUGAUCUUUUAGAGAAUCUAAUAAAAAACCAACUCAUGGUCCUUAAGUCUAGUUUCUUCCCAUUAGGUUUAUAAAGUUUUGCCUUAGCUAGACAUCCCCAAACAUACAAGUAUUUUAAAUUAGACUUCUUGCCUGUCCAAAGUUCAUAAGGGACUUUGACGGUCACUUUAGUUGAAAUCCUAUUAAGGAUAUAUGAUGCACUCUUAAGUGUUAUCUCCAAAGUGAUUCUGGUGAGAUAAAAUGAUAAAUCAUACUCCUUGUCAUGUCCUUAAGUGUCUUGUUUCAUCUUUCAACUACACCAUUCAUAGUGAGCAAAGCCGACAUAGUGUAUUAUGAGACGAUAUUGCAUUUCUAUUGGAACUUAGUAAACAAUCCUAGACGUAAUUCACUUGAACUAUCAUAUCUGUCAGAGUACUCACCACCAUGAUCAGAUUGGACGCUUUGGAUUCUUUUGCCAAGUUAGUUCUCAACUUCAGCCUUAAAAUUUUUGAACAUAUUUAAGGACCUUGACUUUUCAUGGAAAAUAUAUAUGUAGUCAUAUCUAGAAAAAUCAUCUAUGAAUGUCAUAAAACACUAUUAACCAUUCCAAGCAACCGUAAGGAAUGGCCCACAAAUAUCCACAUGUAUGAGUUAUAAGAUGUUCAAACUCCGAUUGGCUUCAAAUCUUCUUUUAUUAGUUUGCUUCCCCUUGAUAUAACUAAAACAAGUACCAAAAUCUGUAAAAUCUAAGGGCUUUUUUGGUAUCGUUUUAUAAUAAAUAUUUUCAUUUUUAUUUCCUUCAUUCAAGUGUGAUACAUGUUCGGUGGGUAUUUAAUAAAAUACAUUAUAAAAUAAGCUAUGAAAUAUGGGUGGGCAAAAUCGGGUUCGGAUCAGGUUUGAGUCAACCUGAUCAGAUUUCGGGUUGGACAAAAAUUAAUCCGAAUGUAACCCGAACUCAUAACCCGACCCGAUUCGAUCCGAAUUUAAAUCGGAUUGGAUCGGGUCGUAAGUUCGGGUUAAAUUCAGGUGAGAUAGGGUUUGGGUUAGAUAUGAUCCGAUUGGUUGCUACAUAGUCAUCAUAUAUAGUUAUAUAUCAUAAAAAGCUUCAGAACUCAAACUCUCAAAGUCUUAAAGGGGAUGAACUCGAGUCGGGUUGGAGGCUUGAAACAACAGAAUACAUAUCGGGUUUGGGUCGGCAGCAAAUCGGUGGCCACGGACAUGCAACAGCAAACAAGCAGAAGCUCAACAACAGAUCAAGGAUCAGAUCGAGUGCGCGGCAGCAGAUCGUGGAUCAGUGGACAUCCAACAGCAGACAUGCAGAUGCACUGUAGAUCGAGCGUGGAGAUGCGCAGCAGAUCGAAUGCUUGUUAAGGGUGAGGUUGUGGCUUUUGUGGCCUCCGUUGGCGAAUUGGCGUUGGGUGUGAGUGACUGUGUAUGUGUUUUGUGUAAUGAGGAGGGUUGUGAGUUCACUUAGUUGUGUUUGUGUCUGCGAUUGAACUGCAUUUCUGACGCUGAGAGAGGAAACCUCAAGCUUAAGCGGUUGUCCAUCAGUUAUCCAACUUCUUCACGAUGUUCUCUUCUCUAAUUUACAUUCUCUCCUCUACGCUGCCUCCGACCUCCCUCCUCACGAGGAAUUGAAUUCUUUCACUCAUCAACUCGAUCAUGUUUUUAUUAAUUUAUAAAACAUACUAAAACUUUGUUCUUUAUACAAGUCACGUCCAAUUUGUUUUUUUUUUUUUUUGCGGAAUUGGUUUCCUCUUUCCAAUGCUCCUCCCAGGGGUGUGUGGCGUGCAUGUGUUUAGAUUUAGUUUUUUUUUAAAAAAGAAACCUGAUCGGGUUUUACCCGAUUCGAUCGAGUUUCACCAUUUCAUCUGAUCGGGUUUCGUUCUCAACCCAAUCUGAUCCGAACCCGAAAUUUUUCAGGUCGGGUCAGGUUGUGUAAUUUACCCACCCCUACUAUGAAACACUUAAAACUGAAACCAUGUGAUAAUAAUAAAUAAGAAAACAACUUUAACGCAUUUUGGGUAUUCUCCGGAACAAAUUAUAGAAUAAAUUAUAAAAUUGAUUCUGCACAUUUUCCAACAUAUAAUAAAUAUGCUUUUAUCAUCUUCAUCUAUGUUUUAUUUCUCAUUUAUCAGAACAGAUUCUUCUUCAUCUUUCUAAAAUUUAUCUCUACUUUCUUCCUCUCCUGGAGCUAUUUUAUUCUUCAUUUGUUGUCCUCAUAUCUAAUCUUCUUUUUUCUUUCAAAACCAAAUUUUUAGUAUUUUUAAAAUUUUCACUCUAAUUUCCUUUUUUUUUUUAAUACAUAGCUUUACUUAUACUUUUGGGUUCAUCUAACAUUUUCUCCUUCCCUAUCUUUAUUUUUUCAGUUCUUAAACAAAACGUUUUUGAAAUCAUUGUAUGCAAAUCCGUACUACGAUUUAUAGAUUACAUAAAUAUAUAUUAAUUUGACAUAUUUUAUUCUCUUAAACUCUCUCCCAAGUGGGCAAGUUCGAUCUCCCGUCCUGUAUAUUCUCCCCCCCCCCCCCCCCCCNNNNNNNNNNNNNNNNNNNNNNNNNNNNNNNNNNNNNNNNNNNNNNNNNNNNNNNNNNNNNNNNNNNNNNNNNNNNNNNNNNNNNNNNNNNNNNNNNNNNNNNNNNNNNNNNNNNNNNNNNNNNNNNNNNNNNNNNNNNNNNNNNNNNNNNNNNNNNNNNNNNNNNNNNNNNNNNNNNNNNNNNNNNNNNNNNNNNNNNNNNNNNNNNNNNNNNNNNNNNNNNNNNNNNNNNNNNNNNNNNNNNNNNNNNNNNNNNNNNNNNNNNNNNNNNNNNNNNNNNNNNNNNNNNNNNNNNNNNNNNNNNNNNNNNNNNNNNNNNNNNNNNNNNNNNNNNNNNNNNNNNNNNNNNNNNNNNNNNNNNNNNNNNNNNNNNNNNNNNNNNNNNNNNNNNNNNNNNNNNNNNNNNNNNNNNNNNNNNNNNNNNNNNNNNNNNNNNNNNNNNNNNNNNNNNNNNNNNNNNNNNNNNNNNNNNNNNNNNNNNNNNNNNNNNNNNNNNNNNNNNNNNNNNNNNNNNNNNNNNNNNNNNNNNNNNNNNNNNNNNNNNNNNNNNNNNNNNNNNNNNNNNNNNNCAAAAAGCAUGUGGGUGAGAGUUGUGGGGUUCUUGCAUUUGAAAGUAUGACUGGCCAUAUCGUGUUGCUGCACUUGUUCUUUAAACAAUGGAAAAAUACAUGAAUUACAAGCAAAUGAAAUUUUAAUGUAUAUUUUUAUUUGCUUGUUAUGGACAAGACAUAACAUAAAUGUAAUUGGAGAAGAGAGGAUGAAAUUAUGGUAAUAUUAUCUAUUUUAAAAUUUUAUUGCUAAUUUAUUUAUGGUACAUCUAUAUUUAUUUAAAAAUUUAAUCUUAGCUAUGGAGAUUAAACAAAUUAAUUUUAUAUUAUUUUUUAGUAUUUCAAAAUUUUAACUACGAUUAUGACAAUAUUUAAUAAAAAUUGUUUCUACAAAUGAUAUUACCGAAUACAUAUUUACUAUUUUUAUCUUUUUCAUUGUGGUUACUGAGCAUAUAUUACUUUUUUCAAUUUUUAAAAUACAAUAUACAAAAAAUAACACCAGACACAUGCUUAAUUUAUAAUACUACAACUACAAAACAUCAACAUCAUUUUCAUUCUCAUUCUCAUUCUCAUUUUUUUUUUCAGAAAAUAUGAAUUUAGAAAUAAUACUGAUCAGGCCCUAAGGGGUCGAGAAUUUCGUCUGAUACAAGUCUCUCUAUUCUCCAUUUGGAGAUAUGCCCAAUCUCCUAUGCCAUAAUGCCACUGAAUCCUUAUUGGCUAAUCUUUUCUUUAAACCUUAUGUACUGAAUUGCAGGAAUUUGUUAAAUGAAGCAAUUGUAUCAAGUAUAUAAAUAUUAUUAUUGCCUAACAAAGAACUAGAACCAACCAAUUUUGAAUCAUGAAACAAACUAAAAUUUCCAUUUCCAAAUGAACAAGUAAAACCAGACUUGUCUAAAGCAAAACUGGAAAUCAAAUUUUGCUUAAAAGACAAAACAAUAAAUGUCUCAUCAAGAUACAAAUAAAAUUCGGUCUUUAAUAAUAAUCUAAAUUUUUUAAUUACUUUAACUUCAACCUUCUUGCCAUUUCCCAUAUAGAUGUACCUUUCACAAUCAUUGGGCUUUCGACAAUUCAAACAACCCUGCAUAGACACCUUGAUGUGAGUUGUUGCACCAGAAUUUAUCCACCGUGUGUGUCCUAGUACCAAAGUUAAAUUAAUCUUAGAACAAACUAAACCAUGCCCUUCAACUCCGUAAAAGAAACAACUAGUACCUUUCGGAUCAUCUGAUUUCUUUUGUCUUUUCUCUUGAGGUGCUAUAUCUGUAGCAUUCUUAUCCGUCUUCUUUUUCUUUCCCUUGUAUUUGUCCUUAUACUUUACUGAAAUUAGAUCUAUCAAGAGCGUACCUAUUUCGACCUUUUCGUUGUUGACAAAUCUCCUUUUAAUAUCAGCAAGAAAUUCUUUAGCUGAGUUGUCUUUUCAAACAUUAAGCCUUUGAAUACUUCUGGAAUGGCCUUCUUCAUGAUCAUGCCUUUGAAUACUUCUGGAAUGGCCUUCUUCAUGAUCAUCAUACACAUGUGAUUUAAUUUCUUCCACUUUUCUAUACCUUUUUUGUCAUCAAGGCUACUCUCAUUCGUAAAGAGGUUCUCUUGCCAUGAAUUUAGGUUAUACCCAUUUAACAUAGGAAUAUAGUUGAAGUUGGCAGUAAUAUUAGCAAAGCCAUAAUUGUACAGAAAAAAAAGAAAAAAACAAGCUCAUAUAAAUUAAAUUCAAAUAAAGGUCAACCCCAUAUUAAGAUACUGGACAUUCCUUUAAUAUUUCAUUUUUUUGACAAAAUAUUAACUUAUAAGUGAUACCUUAGUAUAGUAAUCAAACGCUGAUAAUAAGAACAUGUCAAAUAAUAAAUUUUCCUUUGGCUGAUUUAUUAUUGACAUGUAAACCAAAUAAUCAUCAUGCAUUUAUUACCAUAAGUGCACAUGCAAUUCUAUCAAAUAUGGACCUUCAUUUAGACAAAUCAAUAUUUCACAGAAAUUACAUAUACAAAACUGUUUAUAUUCUAAAAUAAAUUAAUUUUCACAAGAGAUGUCACUUUGAUAACAUGCUGCUUUAAUUAAUAAAUAUAUAUAAACAUACAAAUAUUUGAAUUUAAAAUUGUACCAAAAUUAUCCUUAAAAAAUUAAAAAGAUUUGGGUCAAGGUUCCAUUAACGGUUAAUGGUCAACUAUUGACCAUUCAACCGUCGAGUGGGAUGGGACUAGAUCGAUUCAAGUUGACCAGAACCUCAACCCAAACCGGAUCCUAAACCUGCUAUAUAUUAAAAUCCUAACUCUUUUUUUUUUUUAGCUUUUUCUUGUUCCAGAUGCGAUGCCAUCUGAUGCGACCUUUGCGCGCAGCCCAAUGGUUUGCAACAUUCAACCAUAUCUUUUCCAACCCUAGCGUGGCUUGGACUACUGCUAGCCCUCAGCUCUUAAUCCAAAUGUAUAUUGAAACCAAAUUUCAUUAUAUUUCUAGAUUUUCUGAAUUUUUAUUUUAAUCCUCAAUUUAUUCUGAAAUUAAAAUUAGCAGAAUUAUUGGAUUUAAGAACACCCAAAAAUUUAAUCAGUAAUCGAAAGUAAAGUCGAUUCUUAAUGAUUGAAUAUAAAGAGGCUCUUAUACCACUUGUUAGAACAAUAAUAUUUUGGCAAAAUCAUCACCUAUAAACCAAAAAUAUUCAUGUUAUAUCACUAAGAACCAAUAAAUGAAUAUGUGGAAGCAUGCUUAAAUCCAUAAUGCUUAAUUGCUCUCUAAAGUCGUAUGGUUUGUCUUCUAGAUCAACACUUUCUUUUAGAAAAUCCUUUAAACUUCUCUUCGCACUCUCUUUGAUGAUAGGAUGCCAAUAGAGAAUAGAAUGAUAAGUGUGAUGUGGGAGUUAUAAACUCUCAUAUAGACAACUUUUUUUAUGUUGUCUUUGUGUAUUCCUAUUUCAACCCAUCAUAAAAAUAGAAAUUAGCCUUAUGUAUCUACACAUUAAAGGCUCACCCUAUUAGAUACAUUACCAAAUUACUGAAAAACCUUAAUAGAUCACUUUUAAUUGGGUUUAACCUUAUAUAACAAUCCGCAACACAUAAUUAUUCGCAUAUAAGACCAACCUUGAAUUAGGGAUCCAACCUUACUGGAUUAAAGAUCCAACAUUAAGUCCUUAUAUUGUCCCUUAUAUAUAUUAUAUUUAUUAAUACCUAUUAGGAUUCUUUUAGUUUAAAUCCAUAUAAUAUUGCAAUUUAAAUAUAUUCACUAAAAGUUCCAAAAAAUAAGUAAAUUAAAAAAUUAAGAAUGUGGAAAUAUGGAGGGGAUAAGAAUUACAGCUUAUCCUAGUCCCUUACCCCAAUGAUAGAAAUGUAUCAAAAUGAUCUCUAUACCUAUCUUUGAUGUUAAUUUUUGAAAGUUUCAUCCCUAUCCAUCAUGGGAGGGAGGGGUCUUUAAAGCUCGUUGUGAUGGAUAUUUUUAUCUCCCACUUAGACCAUAUUUACUAUUGAGGUGUUGUAGUAAAUAUGAUUUUUAAAAUUAAUUUUAACAAAAAUAGUAAAUGUAUUAUAGGUUUUUCCAUUAUAAAAAUGUGAAAUAAAAUUAAAUUAGCUUACAAACCACAACAGUAAAAUAAGUGUUUACCAAAUACUUUUAAGUAUUUAUCAAAUACUUUAGUAUUAUAACUUAAUGCUACAGUUGCCUAACUAGGAUAUCAAACAUAACAUGGCCUUAAUGAGGAUAAUGAUGCCAAGAUUACCAAAAAAACAAAUUGUAGUUCUUUUUAUCGUGACAAUAGUUUAAAGUUAGGGAAAAAGAAAGAAAGAUAGACAAAUGUGAAACAAAUAAAUACAAUCAUAUAUAGAUGAAAGGGAGCUGAUAAGGUGUACGCAGUCACAUACGUGGGUGUUAAGCUCCUAUGAGGAGGUUGUGGGACUCACAGCAUGUAGCUUUCCCCAAUAAAAGCUUGACUCGUCCACAGUCUCACACUAUAAGGUGCGCGAUUGUGCAUACUUAAUUACCCCAAAUCACUUUAUAUAGAUGACAUUAUUUAGAUGCAUGAUUCAUGUUCUCUCACUAAAUCAAUUUGUUUGAAGUUAAUAAAGAUUUUGGGACCACCAUUGAUGCCUAGUGGGAAAAGGAAAUUACUUUUGACUUAUUAGUUUGUAUUGAAAAUGGGCAAAUUAAAUGACAGAUAAAAUAUUGCCCUUGGCAAUUAGUUGCAGGGUUUCAAUUUCUCUCCAAAUGAGAGUAGAAGUCUUUUUGAAAUUUGAAAAAAGUUUUUUGUUAAAUAUAGGAGUAGUAAUUUACAAGGCCGACUUUAGAGUUUUUGGAGGUUUAGACGAAUUUUUUUUUUUAUGAGACCUCUUUUUAUUCUAAAACUUCAAUAUUCAAAAAAAUAUAAAAUAUUUCAAAGUUCGUUCUAUAUUCAGUUCUUGAAUUUCAACAAUAAUUAAAAGAUCUUAAAAAUUUUGAAAGACAACAUCUAAAAGAAUAGUGAAGAAAAUGAGCAAUUACAAAAAUAAACAAAAAAUAAAUAAGACAAAUACUAUUUUUGGGUAAAUAUUUAGAAUUGUACCAUGUAAAAAGUUAAUAAGAUAAAUUGAUGAUAGGUGAUGGAUAAGACUUUAUAUUUGAAGAAACUAACUUUUUCUAUUUUAAAUGAACCAAUGAACGUAAUAAUUUUCCUUAUUUAUAAGAUAUCAAUAAACUAUUUCAUCUAUUGAUUUUUGAGAUUAUAAUAUUUUAAUUAAAAAUUAAAAGAAAAAGUAAAAGCAAAAAAUUCUAAUAUUAAGUAAUUAAGUUUUCUUAGAAAAUUAAAAAGGUAAAGAAUUUAAUUUUUUUUAUUUGGAAAGACUAAUAAUAAAUGAAUUAAUGGUUAGACAAUAUUAUUAGUUAUAUCUCUUUAACACUAAGAUUAACAAAUAUAUAGGCUCUCUUACAAUAUGUAAUUUAAGAAAAACUAUUAAUUAAAAAAAUACUAAGAAAAUACUCAAAAAAUAAAAUCUUCUCAAAAUAUGGGUUUUAGGUGACUAUUUUGUUGGUCUGUACUUAAAGUCACCACUAGUAAUUUGGAACUAGCCACAAUAUUCAUGAUGUCAGUUAAUGAUAUAAAAUUUCAUUAAACUAUAGAUGAUGUCGUCAAUUUUGUUUGGAUUAAAUGAAAUAGGUGUUUGUCCCAUUAUAGCUUGUUUUGCAAGUUAUUAUUUCUUUUUUAAAAAAAUACAAGUUAUUAAUUAAUCAUAAAACAAUUAUAGUCUUUUCAGUUUUCAGAAGGGUUAAUAAAAAUUGCAGGUAACUUUCAUCUGGGGUAAAAUAUUUUUAAUUCAAUUUAAUAUGGCUAAACUACCAAAUUAUUAUAAAGUGGAUGAUUGUUUCAUCGGUUCAAUGAUUAUAAAGUCUACAUGUCAAUAUAUUAAGCAAUUUCUUUUGGUAUUAUUAAUGAGAAAUUUAAAUAAAAAAUUUAUUUGUCAAAGGAAAAUUUUGUCAUUUGUCUCGAUUUAACAAAAUGGCUAGUAAGGCAUAAUUGGUUUGAAAAUUUUCUUUUCGAAAGCAUAAUUGGUUUGAUUUUUUUUGUUUCCCUAGAAAAUGAUUUGUAUGAAUUGAAUAAUAUUUACAAUUUAUUUUUUUCAUCGUUUACAAAUUAAAAAUUUUUGAAGACUGGCUAAGUGAUUCUUUUUCCUCUAUCAAACAAAUUAUCUCCUUAAAAUUAAGAGUAUAUAUAUCUUCUUUUUAAAAUGAUUAUCCAUUUUGCCUGAAUAAUUCGUAAUAUCUUAUAAAUAUAUCCUCAAAUAAUUCAUAAUCAAUUGUAGCAUUUGAAGUUAAGCCAUGAUGAAAAAUGGAAUUUAGGAUUUCAUUUAAUAUUGACGGAUUCUUACUGAGUCUAAAGAAAUACCAAAUAAAAAACAUCUACUUUUUGAGUUUUAUAUCUAUUCAAUUUACAAUUUUAAUAUCAGAAUUGUGGAUGAAGUCACGAUUCAAUGGGUUAGAUCCAUUUACUUUUUCUUUUGUUGAUUUCUAAUCUUGAAAAUAGAUUAAUUAAAAUAAUGGAAAGAAAAAUAUUUGGUGAUGGAAGAGAGGAUUUAUCACUACUCAUUAUAAUGAAUAAGUGCUCAACUUUCUUUUAGAAGUUGAAAUACAAAACACUCAACUCAAGUUUAAGAUUAAGGAACCACUCUUAUUUGAAAUUUCACGUAAGAUCACUUUGUUGCAUUCUUCUGUUUUCUUGAACUAUUUCUUUGUAGCUCUUAAAUUCUCCAUCUCCCUACCCAAGGUCACUUUUUGUUGUAGUUGUUUUCUUGCAGUACUUCGUCAUUGCAUUUUGAUAAAUCCAAAUUUUAAUUUUAAAAUAAUCUAAAAAUUUUUAUAAAUAAAUUAUAUAAUGUAGAUUUUAUUAGUUAUUUUGAAUGUUAAAUAUAAUUAUUUUAAUGUUAUUAAUCUGUGAAACAAAUUUUUAUUAAUAUUAAAACAAAUCUGACCGAUUAAAAUAUUAAAAAAUUUUAAAAUUUAAAAUUCAAAAUUCAAAAUUCAAAAUAAUUUAUAAAAAAUUUAGAGGAGAUCCCUUAAGUACCCAAAUCCUGGAUAGCUUGUCUCGAAUUUAAUCUAAAUCAUAUUACAAGAAAAGUAUGGAACUCUACAUUUUAUGUUCUAUUAGGCAUGCAAAUAUAUAGUGCCUGAUUUGUGAGUUUAAAAUACACUUUGAAUAAGAGCAAAAAUACAGAAAGUUUGUACCGAUCUCUCUAUGCUUUGACAAGUUUUCAUUUAAGUCCUCAUAUUGUCUCUUAUUUAUAUUAAUUUUUCAAUAAUAAACUGAGUAGGAAAUAAGAAAUAAGAAAUAAGAAAUAAGUAUUAAACUAAUCUCCACACCUAUCUCCAUUGUUUUUUUGGAAGUUUUCAUCCCUAGACAUAAUGGGGAGAGUUUUUAAAGCCGCGUCUUCAUGGGAAUUUUUUUGUCCCUACUUAGUCUUGUUUAUAUAAAUAGUAAUUUUAAUAAAAAUAACAAAGGUAUUAUAAAUUUUUCACUAUAUAAGAAUGAGAUAAAAUCGAUUUAAUUUACAAACCACAACAACAAUCUAAGUGUUUAUCAUACACUUUAAUACUAUAGCUUAAACCUACAGUUGUCCAACUAGUAUACUAAACAUAACAUGACCUUGGGAUAGUGAUGCCAAGAUUACCAAAAACAAAAAAGAAAAAGAAAAAAAUUAUAGUUCUUUUUCUUGUGACCAAAAGGAACAGAUUAAUACAAUAAUACGUAGAUGAAAGGGAGCUAAUCAGGUGCGUUUAGUGCACAGCGCAGCUCCCUCAAUAAAAGUUUGACAAGCGCAGAGUCUUACAACACAAGAUGCCAGACUAGAAGCGCUUGAUCACUCUCCAUGAAUGAACUAUGAUAGUAUUCAGAUGCAUGACUCAUGUUCUCUCUCUAUCACCAAACUUGUUUGAAGUUAAUAAAGAUUUUAGGACCACCAUUGAUAGCCUAGUUUUUUUUUUGGAGGGUGUGGUGGGGAAUUAAUUUUGACUUGUUAGUUUGUACUGAACCGGGGCAAAUUAAAUAACAGAUAUAUUAUUGCCAUUUGCUCUAUAAAUAAGAGUAGAAGUCUUUUUGAAAUUUUAAAAAAGUUUUUUGUUCAUUAUAGUAAAACAAAUAAAUGAAUUGAAUUGGAAUAUAAUCAUAAAUGAAAUGAUUCGAAUUCGAUUCAUUUAUUAAACGAAUUGAAAUCUCAAGAUUUGGAUUCAAUUCAUUUAUUAAACAAAUAUUCGGUUCAAUUCUUUUAAUUCCUUUGGUAAAAUUAAUAAAUGAAUCAAAUCAAAUCUAAAUUCGUUUACUAUUCAUUUAUUCUAUAACGAAUUGAAUUGAUUGUUAAUAAACAAAAAUUAAGGAAGAUAAAAUAUAAAAGACCAUAAAUUUAAUAUUUUACAAAAUACAAACUUAUUAUCAUUUAUUGUUACUAUAUUAAUCUUCAAACUUUAAAAUUUUUUAAAUACAUAUUUAAGGAUAUAUAAGUAAUUUAAUUAAAUAAAUUUUAAACGAAUAGUAUAAAUGAACCCUAAACGAAUAAAUGACUGAAUGUCCUCAAAUAUGGAUUCGACUCGUUUAAUUAGUUAAUCAAAUUGAAUUCACCAUUUAUUAAAUAAAUUAAUUUUUUCAAACUCAAACCUAAUUUAUUUGCAUCAAAUCAAAUUGAAUGAAUGAACCCUAACCCAAAUUGCCACCUCUACACUAUAGGAGUAGUAAUUUGGACCUCGCUAUAAUAUUAACAAUGUUAAUUGAUGAUAUCAUUAAAUUAUCGAUAACGUUGUCAAUUUUGUUUGGAUUAAAUGAAAUAAGUGUUUGUGACAUUAUAACUUGUUUUGCACGUUCUAACCUUUUUUUCCCCUAAAAUAAUUGUUCUUAAUUAAUCAUCAAAUAAUUUUUUUUUACUUUCAUUUGGGGUAAAAUAUAAUUCAAUUUGAUAUGGCUAACCUAAACUAGCAAACUAUUAUAAAGUGGAUUAUUGUUUCAUCGUUUCAAUGAUUAUAAAGUCUACACGUUAAUAUAUUAAGCAAUUUCUUUUAGUAUUAGUAAUGAGAAACUUAACAAUUUUAUUUUUUAAUGUCCAAAGGAAAAUUUUGUUAUUUGUCUCGAUUUAACAUAAUAGUUAGUAGGACAUAAUUGGCUUGAAAAUUUUCUUUUGAAAAGCAUAUUUGUUUGAAUUUUUUUUUUUCAAAAUGCAUGAUUGGUAUGAAUUGAAUAAUAAUUACAAUUUAUUUUUUUCAUCAUUUACAAAUUAAAACCUUUUGAAGACAGACUAAGAUACUCUUUUUCCUCUUUCAAACAAAUUGUCAGCUUUUAUAUACACACACCCUACUAUUAUGAUCUAAAAUUUUAAAGUACGAAAAAGUCCGAGAAAUUUUUAAAAUCGCACGGUUUAAAAGUGUUAUGAAAUUAACAUUUUAAAACCACUGAGUUUUAAAAGCUUUCCUAAACUUUUCCGUUCUUUCAAAUACUGAAUUAGAAUAUAUAUAUAUAUAUAUAUUGUUGUUUUUAAAUGAUUAUCCAAAUUCAUAAUAGGGAAAUUAUCAUUUGUAUACCCUUAGUUUACUCCAUUAUAAAAAAUACUACAACACUUUGAGGGUGUAUCAAUCGUCCACCAUAAGUUGACAAAAUGUAUCAGCUGACCACCAAACCGUUAGUUGCCGUUUAAGUAUGAUGAUGUCAGAAGGGUAAUUUGGUCUUUUCAUAUGAUACAAGUGAUAAUUUAAGGGUAUACAAGUGAUAAAAAGAGAAUUUAAGGGUAUACAAGUGAUAAUUUUUAAGGGUAAAAUCAUCAAUUCAUUGUAAUUCCGUUAACUUUCAAACGGCAACUAACGGUUUGAUGGUUGGCUGAUAUAUUUUGUCAACUAAGGGUGGACGAUUGAUACACCCUCAAAGUGUUGUAGAAUUUUUGAUAACAGAGCAAAUAUAGGGUAUACGAAUUAUAAUUUUCCUUCAUAAUAUCUUAUUUCUCUAUUGUAUUUUUAUAAAUUUUAGUACUAUUUUAUGAAUGAACGCUAAAUCUUCUAAAAAAAAGAAGAUAUUUUUAAGUAGAUUUUGAACACGUUUCUUUUAUCUUUAUUAUUUAUGAAAAAUAAAAUUCCUUAAUCCUUGCUUUUUUUUCCUUUUUUAUUUUGGAUCGGUUAAGUACAAUUUUGACUACUUUGUUAUUGAAAAGAAAGUACUUUUUUCUAAUUAUCUUUAUUUCUUAUUCAAUAUCGGAAUAAGGUUAAAAUGAUUAAAAGAAUGAAUCAAUAUAGUUAUUAAAUAGAAUCGAUUUAAAGGUAAUAUUUUUGUUUUUAGAAAAAAAAAAGAUUUAUUGAAUUUCAACUAGAUGUAGACCUUAAGUCUAACUUAACCUAAAAGUGCUGUGAAUGUCAGAAGAAAAGCAUGAUUAAAAUCAUAAUUUGCAUAUUUUAUUUGAUUAACUUUAGUUAUAAUAGUAUAGUCUCAAAUUAUAUCUCAAUAUAUAUUUGAGUUUCAAGAACUAUUUAGCACUCAUUUAUUGCAUGAUACCUUCAUAACUUAUAAAAUUAGUUAUUAUAGAUGAAUACGACAUACACAUAAUAAUAGCACUUGGGAUAAAUUUAUACGUUUAUAUAUAAAUAAACUAUAUAAUGGAGAUUUUGUUAGUUAUUUUGAUUUUUUAAUAAAAGUUUUUAAUGUUAUUAAUCCAUGAAACAAGUUUUUAUGAAUAUUAAAACAAAUCUGACAGAUUAAUAAUAUUAAAAAAAUUUAAAAUUCAAAAUAAUUUAUGAAAUUAAUAUUAUUUUAUAUAUUUGAUUAAUUAAUAUUAUCUUUAUAGUUAUUAAAUAAGUUUAUUUAUUGUUCAUUUUUGGUUUGUUCUAAUCAAAGAGUAGAAUCAUCAAGAAGGGGAAAAACGCAGUUGGCAUCAUUUGCAUACAUUCAAGUUUCAAGUGUUAUCUAACACUCAUCUAUUUGACUAAUAGAUAGUUAAUUCUAUAAUUUAUAAAAUUAUUUAUUAUAGAUGAAUCCCAGAUAACAAUAGCACUUAAGAUGAAUGACAUUAUCCCUUCGUGAUAAAAUGAUUAAAUUUGCCAAUCUUUUGCCUUAAAAAGAAAUAAUUAUUAUAUGCAAUUUCUAGAAUGACCAAAAGGAAGGCAAUUGCAUGCCAUCACUUGCAAUUAUUAUAUAAAUUAAUUUACUCCAUAUAUUGACAAGCACAUGCAAAAUGAGGAAAUCAUUAUAUUUGGGAACAUAGGACUUGGUUUUCAUUACAAAGAGGAAGUGAAAUGUGUCAUGCCUUGAAAGCUUUACAGAAUUUGGGAAGUGACAAUUGGCCAAUCAUAUACAAGAAUUUACAAUUGUAUACAAAUAUCUUUUACCGUAAAUUAUCCGAAUUAUUUUUUAAACAGCUUAUUCUAACUUUUGAUCAGAGUUUAAAUCAAAGUAGAGAUUAAAAAAAUAAUUUAAAUUUAUUAUAUUUCUUACUUUAAGAAAAAUUAUAAAGUUAAAAAUAUUUGAAUUUAUUAUUUCUUUUUGCAUAAAUUGUAUGUGUUGAUAUCAUUCUAUUACAAAACCCAAUAUUCCAAUGUUAAUUUUUUUUAAAAAAUUUAUGCACAAUACAAAUUAUUAUUUUUAAGAUUAUAUAAAUAAAUAAGUAUUUUAUAUAUAGUGUUAGGUUUCAUUAAAAAAUCCUGCAUGUCAAUCAAAUGGCAAGAUUUCAAGAUGAGGAUUUACUACGAUGACUCUAAUUAAGAUCUGUCAUUUUAACUGAAGUGCACAGCCCAACCCUUCAUAUAUCCUUUCAUUUAUUCUCUAAUUUUUUUUUUAAAUGUUGCCAUCUCUCAAUGUUUAAUGAAUCUAAUUAUCAUUCAAUGUCUGUUCUAUACAUGUUAUUCCAAACCUUACUUUCGUUGCUUAAAAUGAUUAAACUUUUACUUUUGAGUUUUGGCAUUUGGCUUCUCUUUUGACAAUAAUAAUGUCCUGUAAUUUGAUUUGGCAAAGGGUAAAUUUCACUUAACCCUUCCUUAAAUCGAUAUAUUUCAAUGAAAACAUAAACACACCUAUAUUUAUGUUUAAAAGUUUAGAGUAAAUAGAAGUUUCGUUGAUAAAAUUGUUCGUCAAAUAUUUUCCUUCUUUAUAGUAAAUAGUGUUGAUUUUUUAAUAAUUUGAAGGUAAAUUAAAAUAUGCCAAUUUAUCUAAGGAUAAAGGAGAAUUAAUCCUCCGACAAAAUUAUGCAGGAAACUUGUCUAAAUAUAAAACAUUUAGGGGAACUAUGAUAAAUAACGAAAACAAAAAGUGAAAAGAUGAAAUAUUAAAACAAAAUUUUGAGAGAGAAAAAAGUAAGCCAAUAAAAUGGAAUGGAAUCAAUCCACACAAACAGCAAGACAGGAGUCUACAAACUCCCAAAUCCAAGGUUUCCAAUCCCCAAUAAUAAUUAUAAAUUAUAUUAAAUUAUAUUUUUGUUCACUUUUGCUUCAUUAAAAAAUUAAAAAAUUACUACCUCCACAGCAUCUCUCUCCAAAUUAAGAAAAUAAAUUAAAAUAAACCAAAAUAAUAAUUUUCUCAUAAUCUCUUAUUUAUACCCACAAGUUUAUCCAAUCCGGUUCUCAAAAAAAUUCACUAACCUCAUUGAAAGUGAAUUUUUUUUUUCUCUCUCUCUGUCUCUCUCUCCAAGCUGAAAAAAAAAAAAAAACCAAAAAAACAAAACAAAACAAAACAGAGAGCGAGUUUGUUGUUGGGUGGUUGUAGUUAUUUCUGUGAAUUGGAACUGUUUUUCUCUGUUUCAUAUUCAUUUUUUGCUUUUAUUUUUAAUUUGUUUCUUUUUCUUUUUUGUGGGAAAGUCUUUCACUCCCUUUUCGUUUUUCAAAAGGCCAAUCUUUACCUAUUUGAUGAAUUGUUUCGGUGUCCAUGAAAGUCGUCUUUUAAUACCCACUUGUGAACUGUAACUUUCCUUUUGUUUGCUUUCACAUUGUUUACUCAAAAUUUGUUUUUGUUUUUAGCAAAAUCUUGGUCCUUUUCUGAUCAGUUUCAGCUUGAUCUGGCAAGAGGUUUCUGUCUUGGUAAUGUUUUGAAGCUCAAUUUUGUGGAAAUUUGUGACAAUUUUGCCAUUGUUUCAAGUUUUUUCUUUGUUUGAUUUGAGAUUUAUUAGUUUCAGUGGGUUCUUUGUAAUCGGAUAAGCUGUUUGUUGCACUAUAGAUCUGCUUUCACACAUAUUAUAUAACCACUUUUUAGCUUUUUUAUUGAUAUUGGAUUUAUAUUAUUAUAAAAGGAAGAAAGAGGAAGUGAGAACAAAUCUUUAUCUCCAAAAAGUCAUCUUUCUUUUCCUGGUAAGCUGCUCAAAGCUAUUGAAUCAUAUUUCGUUUUGGCUCUCUGGUUGAUUCUGUUUUCAGCUUUUUGAUUUUGUGAUUCGUUAGAACUUAUAUGAGGUUUUGUGAAGUUAUCUGAUAAUUAGGCUGUUAGCUCAAAAGGGUACGUGGCAAAUCAAAGAGAUUUGAUAUCAAUAAGAUUUAGUCUUAUUGUUAAACUGUGUAUUCUUCACAAGGGUAUGUGCAAUUAAGUAGUUGAGGAUGUGUAAGGAUAAAUUUCAGAUUGAUCUGUUAUUUUGGUUGUCAAUUGUAAAGAAUUCUUGGAGAUUUGGUUAAUGAUUGUCAUUUGAGGAGAUUUCAGUAAGCGGAUUAAUCUGUUUUUCAGGCCAGGAAGGUUUUCACCAACAAGUUCUGACGGAUUCGUCUUCUGAAAAUAGGGGGUGUGAUUGUCUGGCUGGUCUGGAGUGCCUAUUAAACAUUAUCAGGGCCCUUAGAAUGGGGUCCUGCUUCUCUGCCGAAAGCAGGAGCCCCAUCCCAGGUUCGCCAUCCUCUCCGGGCCUGGGAAUCAGGAAGAGGAAGAGCUCGAGAAAAAAACUGGGGUCAAGGAAUCCUUCAUUUGACUACAGGAGGGAGGAGCCGUUGCAUAGGAUUCCAGGGAGAUUGUUUUUGAAUGGUUCAAGUGAGAUUGCUUCACUCUUUACCCAACAAGGCAAGAAAGGAACAAACCAAGAUGCCAUGAUUGUUUGGGAGGUUAGCUCCUUCUCAUGUUCAUGUGUAAUAGUUCAAUUUUCAACAUGAUUUUUGUCCUGCUCUUAACAUUAGAUUUACAUUUGAAUAUAUAUAUAUUUUUUGUGAAAAGCUUCUUGUCCAUUUGUUUAUCUCUUGUUACUUUCUUAGACAGUGGAAGAGUAGUCUAUUUGAUUAACAGAAUAACAAGUAAUACUUAUUGUGGAAUUCAGUGAGCAACUGUUCAAUUCUUAUCAUAUCCUCAUUUUACUUUUUAUUUUUAAUUUUCCUUCUUCAGAGAUGUGUUCAGUUUAAGAACUCUGUACUUUCUGGUUCAUCAAACAAACAUUCCCUCUAUCAAUGGGCUGCUGUUUCUUCACUCUUUUCUUUUUUUGAACUUAUUUUACGGAUAUAAUCCAUUUCUUCUGUUGCUUCAUCAAAAUAUACUUCUAUUGUGCAAAUUGAACUCUACUUUUGAUUUUAGUGUACAUUGGUACAUCAAAAUAUGCUUCAUAAUGAGUCCCUGUUCGAGCAUCAAAAGAUUUGGUUUACCCUCAUUAUCAUCUUUUUCCAACUUCCCCUGAGACAAGCUAUUUUGGCCCUUUCUUAUUUCUGCAAUGUGGCUUCUGUGUUUUAUGAAAAACUUGGAUGAUUAUAUUAGAUUGCUUUCAAUUUUGUAUGCAUCUUGCAUCCUACCAGUUCAUUUGUUCCAUAAAGUGUUGCUUAUGUUUUCUCAAAUUUAUGUGACCUUAUUUAUCUUAGCUUUUUAUUUAUGUGAUAUCGGAGCUAGUUAAUUUGAAUUGCAUACAAUUUUUUUUUUUUGUUUUAGAUUUUUUUAAUUGCACUCUAAAACAUUCCUGGCUCACCCUCUGUGUGGGAAUUUACAGAACUUUGCAUCAAGGGCAGAUACAAUAUUUUGUGGUGUUUUUGAUGGCCAUGGUCCCUAUGGUCAUAUGGUUGCGAAGAGAGUGAGGGAUUCUCUUCCAUUAAAACUGAGCUCUCACUGGGAAGUGAACAUAACCAGUGAGGAAGUUUUGAGAGAGAUAAGCAUUAACACUGCUGGAAGCAUAAACUCUGAGGAUACAUCUUUUGUAUCUGCCGAUGAAGAACCUAGAGCCUCUGCCGAUCUUGAGGAAACAGAAAAGUUUCCAGAGUUCUUUCAGACUCUAAAGGAGUCAUUUCUGAAGGCUUUCAAAGUCAUGGAUAGGGAACUAAGAAUGCAUGCAACUAUUGAUUGUUUCUGCAGUGGGACAACAGCAGUAACUCUGAUCAAGCAGGUAUUGAAUUUUAGCUUUCCUGAAUAUUUUUUUUUAUUAAAUUUUACAGUUUUGUGUUAUCCUUGUGAUCGCAAGAUAACAAUUGCCUCCAUAUUUGUGUAGGGUCAACAUCUUGUCAUUGGAAAUGUUGGGGAUUCCAGAGCUGUGUUGGGCACAAGAGACAAAGAUGAUUCUCUCGUUGCCAUGCAGUUGACUGUGGAUCUCAAACCAAAUCUUCCAGGUUUUUUUCUCUCUCUUCCCCCCUCUCCUUUUGUGCCUCUCCGUUCUUUUGAACAGCUUCUCUUUUAUUAAACAUUAUAGCGACAACAGUCAAAAGACCAAAAAAAAAAAAAAAAAAAAAAAAAGAAAAGAAACGAGAGUAAUAACUCUGGUUCCAAAACUUUUCCUACCACCAACAUUUUCAUUCUGUGAGAUCUACGUCAGUUACUCAACCCAAGAAGCUCCUAACAUUUUU